rnacentral:lncRNA from 1 species
AAAAUAAAAAAAGGUGGAAAACCAAAAACCACCUAUCCCCUAGGAAAAAAAAAGGUGGAAAAUCACGCUUUAAGGUGUUGUACCUAGAAAUUCAUGGAAAAUCAAUUCUCUGGAAAAUUUUGUCAAUCAAACAGGCCAAAAGUGGAAGUUGGAAUUCGAAUUCCAAGUUCCAUGGAAAAUUUCGUGCAAUCAAACGGGGCCUUAUAGUUUAAUUUUAUCUUUUAUUCCUAUCAUUAUUUAUAGUUAGUUAUUAUCUAUAAGUUCGUUAGUAUCCAGAUUUUAUUUACUUCUUUAAAUACACGUCGUAAGUAUUAUUUUAUAUUCAGUUGAAUUUUGAAUUAAGCUCAAAUUAUUCUCUCUUUCUUGAUAUUUCAUUUUUGAAAUUAAAAAAAAAAUUGAGUUUUUGUGAAGUUUUGUUAGUUCCCAUAAGCUUCCGCCACAUCAAUAUCAUUCCCUUGUUCUAAAAAAAAUAAAAAUAAAAAAUCAACGGCUUGGGGCUUAUGCAAAUCAACGGAUAGGUUUUCUGAAUUUUUGUCCACGUCAAAUUCUUGGAAACUAAACUCGAGAAAUAGUAGAAUUUAGUUCCCAAGUCGAGGAGAUAGCCUUGUGGAUUCAAUAAUGUGAUGAUCAUGAACUAUUAUUUCAAAACUCUUUAAUUUUCAUACUUAUUUUUAACUAUUUAUUUACACAAUAAAAUAUUUUACACAUAAAUUCAAAUAAUUUCCCCACAUUUUAACCACUCAUUUUCAAAAAAUAAAAUAAAAAUAAAUCACUAUUCAAAACUCAAUUUUCUCAAAAAAAAAAAAUGGAUAAAACAGGGGCUAGAUGAGUUUUGUAGAGCCUACGUUCUUUUUCAUGAUGCAUUACUUUCGUAAGGAAGAACGGCAUAGAAAUAGUGGAGCUCGAGAUGAUAGUAGUAAAUUACCACAAAAACUCUGGUAUCCAUAGAAAUACAUGGAACAGAGAGCUCACAAAUUAGAUUGAAUUCAUAUCCAAAUCGUAUGCUAAACAGAGUUUUGCUAUAAAAAAAAAAAAAAAACAAAAACAGGGAGGCUAUCAGCCUCUCUGACUGUGGGUUUCGGUCCCUGUUGUUGUAGUAAAACCCAUGCUAAACAUGUUGUAUUUUUAUUGGCUGAGCCAUAGUUGUGGAUUAGAAAAUUUCGUUUCCAUAAUGACAUGAAGCGCUAAAAAUCAAGUAAUUAUAUUACCAUCACAAUUUUUAUUUCAUACAUCACAUUUUAAUUGCAGUUAAGUUCCUCAAUCUUUGUUCAUUGUAGAUUUGUAGUGAUUAUUUUCUUAACUUUUUUAGGCUAAUUCUUAUCUCCAAUAUUCCAAUUAAUUAGUUCGUCUCAUUCUUGGUGAUAAUUUACGUCAAAAUAUUUCUUUUCAUGCUUUGAAAUGAGAGAAAAAUACUUUUUCUAUUUAUUUAUUUAUUUUUUGAAAAUAUGAUGAAAAAUAAAUCGUUUUACAUCAUUUCAACGAACUUUUGAACAUAAAAUUGUUAUCAAAUACAAAAUAUAAUAACUAAUGAAUAGUUUUGAGAAUAAGAAUGACAUGAAAAAUUGUUAGGAACAUAAGUGAUAAUAAGUAAAGAUUAAAAACAUUAAGUGCACUCAAAAUGUGGUACAAGAAACAAACAUUCUGGUGUUAAUAUAAUUACCCAAAAAUAAAAAAUAAAAAAAUCCUUAUGCUAUUUGAAAUACUUUAUUUUUGUUGAUUGAGUGAAGAAAGCUCGAGGAGAUUAUUUAGGCGUUCUCAAAUUCAGCCUUUCAAAUUAAGCCCCAUUUGACUCUCAUUGAACAAAAACUCUUUAUUUGACUUACUUAUUUUUAAAAAUACAUUUACACAAUAAAAUAUUUUGUACGUAAAUUUAAAAUUUUUCCUACUUUUUAACUAUACAUUUUCCAAAAACCCACUAUUCAAAACAUUAUUUCCCUCCAAUUUCUCUUUAUAAUGACCAUCAAAAAAUGAUUAAGUUAAUUUUACUUUCUAAAUUAAGUUGGGAAAAGGAUUGUGCCAACUAUCGAAACUAGUGAUAUAAGACUCAAAUCGAACUAGUGGGUUUGGACUGAAAACCAACGAAUCGAGACCAGGUCUAAUCCUGUUUGGGUGACUCAUUUACAGAAAGUGAAAAUUACACCACGCUCUACUUUAAAAAUUCAAAAUUCUAAAAUUAGUUCGGAUGUUUUAUUAUUCAAAAAUCAGAAGCUUUGUUAAUUAAUAUAUUCUUAUUAGAUAAAUUUAUUAUUAAAUUAAAUUAAUUUACAAACCAACCCUACCCCCUCUCUCUACAUCUCAUUUUCCUCAAAACUUGUUCUCUCUCUACAUCUCCUUUCUCUCGUCGCUUUAUUUUCUCUCGCUGCCACCAUGAUCGUCUUGACCAUGUCAUAGCCGUCGCCACGACAAAACCAGCGAACGCCACCACCAUAAUUUGAAGCGGCGAUUGAAAUGGAAUUGGCGUCUCAGUAGGCAAAGUUGGUGUCGCGCCUCUGUGGGUGGAGGUGCUGGAUCGCGCGGAUCUAUGCGGCAGAGGUGUAUGUGAUGUGGUUCGUACGAUAAAGCUAGUGGUAGUGGUGGUUCAGUGGGUGGAGAUGGGUUGGUGCGCAUCGAUGGUUUUAAGGUGGUUUUUCCUCCAACCUACUUCUCCAGAGUUUUAGGAUAUGUGAUGAUGGUAGUGGUAUUUUACGGUGGUUUUACAGGGUGGGUGGAAGGUAGGGGCAGUGUCGAUGGUUUUGAGGUUUCUGAGGUGGUAUUUUUCUCCAAUUUGGGUGUGGUGGUCAUGGGUUUUCUGAGGUGGUUUAUUCUCCAAUCUGGGUGCAGUGGUGAUGAGUUGCCUUGGUGCUAGGUGUUGUUGGAGGUUUGGAAUGGUUUUUGUUGGUGGUGCAGGUGGAGGUGUUGUCUGGCACUGUGGAUCUAGUUGCGGGUGGUGGUGCUCGUGGUCGGGGUCGGGGUCGUGGUCGUGGUGAUUGUGUGACCGUGGAUUUGUUGGUGGAGGGUAAGUUGGUCGUGAUGGUCGUAGCGACAAUGGUGGUGGUUUGCAAUGGUUGUGGUAGGAUGGGUUAGGUUGGGGGUGGGGUGGUGGUGGUGGUUUUGACGAUGGCGAUUUUAGUGGUGAUGAGGUUGGUGAUAGUGGUGAGGUGGUGGUCACGAAUGAUUCGCUUGACAGUGACCGUUAAUAAAUGAUAAAUUGUGACUAAAAAAUAACGUGUGACCUAAAAAAUUGUAAAUUUGUGACCAAUAAUUUGAUAAUUUAUGACUGUGUAAUAAGUUAUGACUUAUUAUAUUUUUGAUUUGUGACCGAUUAAUAAAUCGUGACUUAUAAAUUUUUGACUUGUGAUCGAUGAACAAUACUAUGACAUAAAAUUUUUGAACUGUGACCUUAAAUAAUUUGUGACAUAGAAAAAUUUUCAUCUGUGACCAAAAAAACUAUGUUGUUGGGCUAUGUUGAUUGUGGUUGUGACGGAGGUGAUUGUUUAGGCAGUGGUGCUAGCGGUGGUCACAAGUGGGUUUGAGGUGAUUUUUGUGGUAGUUUUUUAAGUUGGUUUGGUAGUCGUGGCGCUGGUGGUCACGUAUGCAUACAACACUUGCGAUCUGGUGCUGCGUGUUUUGGCGAUGCAGGGAUCUGGUCGCGAUCAGGUGAGAGGCGGUAGUUGCGAGGCGUUAUAGUUGCUGCGAGGUCCAAGUCUGGUUGUGUGAUGACGUUAUUUUGCUCGGUUUUUGCAUUUCUGUGUUGUAUGGUGGUCAUGGGUGGCGAUGUGGUGGUAUUUUCUACGAUAGACUGAUUUGUUUAAGGUGGUAGUGGUAGUUCUGGCGACGACGGUGGUGCUGAAGGCAAUGGUGAGAUGUUGGUCACAAGUGUUGGUGGUGGUAGCAAAUUAUUCGGUUAAACUAUAAUCAUUAAAUUGGUUAAUUUGUGACCAAUAAAAAAAUAAAUUGUGACAGAUAAAUAAUGUGUGACCUAAAAUAUUAUUAAUCUGUAACCGAUAAUUUUAUAAUUUGUGACUACAUAAUAGUUGUGACUUAUAAUAUUUGUAAUUUGUCAUCAAUAAAUAAAUCGUGGCUUAUAAAUUUAUUGAUUUGUGAUUGAUGAACAAACUGUGACCUUUAAAAAUUUUGAAUUAUGAUCGUAAAAUAAUUUGUGACAAAAAAUUUUCGAUUUAUAACAUAAAUAUAAUAAGUGACUAAUUAAAUCGUUAAUUUGUGACGUAAUUGUAUAGAUUUGUGACCUAAAUAUAUUCAAUUAAUAAAUUAAUUAAAUCAUAAAUACAUUUUAAUAAAAAUCUAAUUUUGAAAGUUAGAAACUUGUUUUCUUGAUUUGAAAUGUGUGAUACUUAAACUCUUACUCAUGAAAAUUUCCCUUGUAGAAAUGUUCAAUUAACCCAUUCUGAAUUCGUUGAACUGUUUGUUUUUCUGGGCAAUCGCUGGGCCAAUUAUAAGUGAACCGCCAUGCCCAAAGAUGUGGAAAUUAUAGCCGACAUUUAAAGAUUAUUUAAAACUUCAAGUACAAACUUUAAUUAAUCAUAAAUCAGCUUUAUUAUAAUUAAUUAACCUCAACCAUUUAAUGAUUAUUUAAAAAUUCAAGUACAAACUUUAAUUAAUCAUAAAUCAGCUUUAUUAUAAUUAAUUAACCUCAACCAAUCCCCAAUUUCAUUUUCAAACCUAAAUCUCUCUCUCUCUCCCUCUCGACUCUAAACGUAGACACCACUACAGAUUUGCCGGAUCGACGUCGUGGAGUUGAUGUUGUGGUGAAUCUGGUGCGGUGGAUCUAAGCAAUCGUGUGGUGAGAACGAUCAGUGGUAGCGGUGCGAAGGGUGAUGGUGGCGGCGGCGAUGGUAGUAGUACAUCGAUGCAGUUGUGAGACGACAGUGUCAUGAUGUUGUGGAGUCGACGUUUUGGCGAGAUCGACUCCAGUCAGGUGUAUGAGAACAACAAUGAGUGAUAGUGGUGAGUUGGUGCGAUGGAUCUAGGUAGUUGGGCGAUUUGGUGAGAAGGACAGGUGGUAGUAGCCUUGUGUGGUGAUGGCGGUGACGAUGGUGCACCGAUGUGGCUGAUCAAUCUGCUGUACUCUACUAUGCAAUUCAUCCCUUGCCUCCAAAACACGAUCCCUGUCAUUACUGUCAACUACAAAUAUGAUCCCCUAGGUGUUUUCAAAGUAGUGCCCCCAUAAUGUACGAAUCCAUGAAUAGUUCUACUUGAGUUUUGGAAGGGAACCAGUUGUUAUGAGGUAGUGAGAGUGGCGGUGGUCAUGUGUUGUUGGUGUGUUCAGUGGUGGUUUCUGGCGGUGGUGGAGGUAUUAGUGUUGACAGAGGUGAUGUGGGUGGUGUUGGUAAGGUUGUGAGUUGGGUAUUGAAUGUGUGUUUGGUGGUGAUAGUCGUGGUGGUUUCUGGCGACGAAGGUGUUUGUUGGUGGCUAGGUUAUACUUAUUUUUGUUGGCAUUUGAUUUGAUCUGAUGGUGGCGAUUUUGUUAGUGUUGGUGGUGGUGUUAUGGUGGCUGCUAUGGUCACGAUAGUGAUGGUAGUAUGUGAUCAUUAUUUGCUGUAUAUAACCAACCAUUUAAUUAUCUAUGACUAACGAUUUAAUUGUAACUAAACUUUUGAUAAUCUGUGAUCAAAUUAAUUUGAUCGUGAAAUAAUCUGUUACCAAAAAAAUUUUUAUUUGUGACCUUGAAAUAAAUUGUGACUUAUAAAUUUUUUUUUGAUUUUUGACCUCGAAAUAAUUUGUGACUAAUUAAUUUGAUAAUUUGUGACAAAUAAAUAAAUUGUGACAUAUAAUUGUGUAUUUGUGACCAUAAAUUCUAUAAUAGUGACUUUAUUAUAUUUAAUUAAUUAAAUAUAUACUUGAAUUUUGAAUUUCUAAAUUAUUUACCUGAAUUUUGAAUUGAUGUCAAAAAUACACCUGUGUUAUAAAUUUUUCCCGCCAAAGAUCUUCUAUAAAGGCCCAAAAUUUUCACCCUCUCGGCCUCUCUCACAUUAUGUUGUGAAAAAUGGAAAACCUUCAGGAUUUAGCCGUCUCUUGCUGUUCCCUAAGUAUCCAAGACUUCAAUUUCAAGUGGUAUAAGAAGGAAGAAGAAAAUGUAAAUCUAAAAUUUUGAUUCAUUUAUUAUUAUUAUUUUUUUGUUGAAUUUCAAAAUUUCGCCAUUAAUAUAUAUAAGAAGAAGAUUUUUUCGUUGGUUGCCUUUUCCUUUUGCAAAUGUCAUUUCAUAUUUCACCACAAUUCCCUUGUUUUAAUUGUCCCUCUAUUGUAUAUUAUACACAACGAUUGUGGUUUUUAUUUAUUUGCAUGGAUGAAUUUGGAAUAGAUUUUAUUUCUAUAUAUAUAUAUUUUCCACUUUUAUAGUUGGUUCAGUAAUAUGGGUUGACUUUUGCGACAACAAUCUUUACAUUAUAGCUUUAAAUAAAAAAGUUUUCCUCAGUCUGAUUUGAAAUGGUCUGGCAAUUUGCCUGUUGUUACAAGUAGCAUUAGUACAUUACUCUAAUUACUGGCAAUUAUUAGAGAAGGGAGGUUGGGAAUGAAUUUUGGUCAACUGAGCAUCUGUAGCAUUCUUAUCUAUACAAAGCUUUAAAGUUUGAGAGACUUUCUUCUCAUGAAAGUUUGGUCAGUUGGGCAUUUUUAGCACGGUUUCUCUGUCGCAAUUGGUUGACAACAUCAUAUUCAUCCAAUUUAAAAAUUAUUUUUUACAUCAAAGGUUUGAACUUUGACAGCGCAUGGUUGUCAACCAUAUUUGUACAACUAGCUUUAUUGUAUAAACAAAUGUAAAAAUAGAGACUGCUCCAAUGUACAUGCCAAUGCCCUUUACAAGAUGCUUGAUAUAACAAGUAAAUAUUAGAAAUGUAUAUAUCGAUUAAACCAGCGACCAACUAUUGCCAACACUUGGUUAACGCUGGGAUAUUGAAUGUCGGAGCUGAACUAAGGUGGAAACUUGUUGCAUAUGAUUCAUCUUUGAUCACCAAGGUGGAAAGUUGUUGCUUAUGAUUCAUCUAUUGUUGAAUGUCGUCAUACAGAUUAAUAUUUGGUCACCAAAAUAACAUAAAGUUAAUUAAUUAGUGCUAAAAAAUGUUAUAAUUUUACUAUACAAUGAAAAAUAGUUAAUAAUAUAUUUGACAUGAAUUGAUUAGUCGAUUCAAUCAUUGACCCUUUGCAUUGUCCGGGUUUGCGUUUGGGUUAGGUCGAACAAUUGUGAUCGAAACAAUUACAAUCCAAUUUAGAUGAGGAUUUUCAAAUUCUCGAAUUAUUUGAAAACAUAUGUACAUAUAAUUUUAUAGUGGUUUAUAUAGAUUUUUUUUUUAAAUAACUUUUCUCAAUCAUUUUUUUAACAAACAAAUUAAUUUCUUUUUAAGUUGACGAUAUCUAGGCCUCACAGUUUGAAGAUUUCGGCUCAAUUCCAAAAAUAAAUAAAUUAGGAACCGAAAUAAAAAUCGAGAAUUGAUUGGGUCCAAAUUUCCGAACUUGAAUCGUGGGGUACUUGAAUGAAAUCAAAAUUUUAUAUAAUUUUUUUUAUUUAGAAUUUAUAAGCUGAGUAAAAUAAUAUAAAAUCUAAAAAUUCUAAUUUUGGUAAUAAUUUUUCUAAAACUCAAAACUUUAACCUUAAUAAAUCAAGAGUGGUUCCUACUUUUUGCCUCUCAUCUCAUAUCGAAUGGUUGUACUUUUAGAGGUAACUACAUAUUACUAUUUACAGUUUGGACUGUCUAUGAAUAAAAAAGUUCAAGCUAGGUUAUGGCGUAAGUUGAUGAAUCAUUUUGUUCAUUAUUUGCAAUUAAGCUUUACUUUCUUGCAUUGUUUAUAAAUUUUAGUGAUUUUCAUUUUUUUUAAUAAUGCGUGGUAAUUGAGAGCUCGUUUGAGCCCAUUAUAAUGAGAAUGAGAAUGAGAAAUAGAGCCGUUAUGGGUAUCACACCAGAGAUAAAAAUUCAAAAAUGGUGGCUUGAUGUGAUGGAUAACGGUUAUAUUUUUCAUUUUAAUGAGAUAAAAAUGAGGCUCAAACAGGAGCUGAAUUUGAUAUAUUCAUAGCUUAGGCUAUGUUGUACAUUUUUUGUUAUAUUGAGUUUUUGGUUAUCUUCAGAAAUAUUUUUUUUCCUUUUUAUUUAAACAUAGCGAGUUCAAUAUGUGAACGACAAUUGCAAGGAGUUAUUCAUUGAAGUGCUCUGUAGACCUUCAUACUAAUUUGGUGUGAAUUGUUCCAAUAGCCUUAAGCAUACAACUCUAGCUUUUUUACAAGUCUCGCUAGUCCUUUCAAAUGUUGCAGCUCAGCAUCAUGUUUCCACUUACCAUCAAAUGUUGCAGCUCAGCAUCAUGUUUCCACUUACCAUGAAGAAGUCAAGAUAAGCAAGAUAUUGAAGAAGAGAUUUCUGUCUGCUCUCCUCCAGUGUGGCAAGAAGUGGCUCGUUUGAUUUAUUUAUGCCGCUGCUGAUCAUUUUGGAGGUGCAAAUGAAAACCUCCUUAUAUGGAGGAAAUGGUUCAAGAGCUUGAACAGUUGUUCAAUGAUCCCAGAAAUAAGGUGAAGAAGAGAGUGAUACUCAAAAUAUAUUUUAUGGUUAUUUUUAAGGGUAAAUAUUUUAGUUCCAUUUUGCAUAUGAUUAAUUUUACAUUGUUAUAUUUUUUAAUUUUCUUAUUUCGUUUGACGAUUUUGGUUAUUGAAUUGCACAGUAUGGAUGAACUGCAGACUCAAGUUGAACCCUUAGGAUAUAUGUUUCUCCAUAUGAAUGGGUGCUUCUGGGUUUUAGCGACCCAACUCUUCCUCUCCUUUUUUCAUUAUUGAUUUUCCUUAAUAUAUUGACCCUCUUUUCAUUCAUCAUAUGUCUCUACUAAAGGUAAAAUCUUUGUUAAAGGGUUUGAAAUUAACUUGAGGAUAGUAAGAAUAGUCACUUAUGAAUCGAAAUAGUAAGCGCUGUCGAAGGCCAUACUUGAGAAAUAACUAAGGAUGAAGGUUUACAAGUAAUUCAAAAGAACACUAAAAAGAGAAGUACUUGUAUUAAAAUUCUCUAAACUACUGUGCUUUCAUUCUUAAGCUCUCUCCUCGCUUCACUCUUAAGUUUGUCGAUUACAAAUAAAAACCCACAUAUUUAUACUUCGCUUUUUUUGGAUGGACAAUGUAGAUUAAUUCUUGAACAUAUUCUUAUCCAAAUGUUUAGAAACUUAUGGUCAUAUUACUUUCUAGUAACAUUGUCUCUACGACCUUAUGAAGUGCUUCUGCAAACACUUUCGUGCAUGAAACAUUCUAGAAUCCAAGAUCUUUAUACAUGUCUUCCCAGCAUUCUAUAGCUUUUUCAAGAAUCUUUCAUGGAACUCCAUGACCUUAUCAUCUCCAUAAUAUUUCACAAGGUUCUUGAGAAUUCCAGGAACCUCUUCUAAGAUGUUCUAAUUGUGCAGGAUGUCGGCCAGCCCUAUCAACAAACCUUAGUGUCUCUUGCAUAAUUUUUUUGAUGUGCAUGUCUGCCUUAGUCUUCAACUGUGUCCUUCUCAGCUGGCUUCUGUCUAUGUCAACAAUUUUCUAUUCUACUGCACUCACAACUUACCUUCCGCCUAUUUGGCCACUCGUGUUGAUCAUUGCAAUGUGAUUAUAAACCUCCGUAACACUUAUAUUGAAACUUAAAUAUAUCGUUGGAACAAUUAUCGUUGUUUCCAUACUUGUGGCCACAGCAAUAGCAGGACUAAUUGCAGUCUUUGUAUUCCUUUCCUGGCAUAAACAAACAUUAGGACGAGAAGAGGCGACUAUUUCCCUGGGGCAAAGGAAGCUAACCUCGGCUGUCGAUUUAGACAAAAUGGAAUAAGGGUCAUCAUCACCAGAAAACUCUACAAGCAGCAAGAAAUCUGACCAGAAUGUGAAGCUCACUUUCUUGAAGGACGAUCGAGAAAAUUUCAACAUGACGUCUCUGCUAAAGUCCUCGGUAGAGAUAUUAGGAAACGGAGUUUUUGGGUCGUCUUACAAAGCUGCUCUUAAUGCUGACCAGGUUAUGGUUGUGGAAAGAUUUAGGCAUAUGAAUAGUGUUGGAAAAACAGAUUUUCAUGAGCAUAUGAGAAGGUUAGGCAGGUUGAGCCACCAGAAUCUGCUUUUGAUCCUCGCUUUCUAUUACCGGAAAGAGGAGAAGCUCUUGGUUUUCGAUUAUGUUGAAAAUUUUAGCCUACCUUUCCAUCUCCACGGUAUUUCGAGUCUUCUCACCGUCGAAGAUAAAAUGUAAAUAGUAAACACAUGAACCAUCUCUAAGAGUUUAAGCGGUUAAACUAAGGGGUUCAUGUCUGCUACUAAGGAAAAAUGAAUUCCACUUAACUCAUGAGGAGGCGUGUUGAAAACAAUUAUUGUUCCAAUGAAAAAAACGUUAAUAGAUAUAAUGUUACCCUAUUGAUUGUCGCUAAAGGUUAAAAUGGAAGUUACAUAUAUAAGACAAUAAUUUAGAUUAUUUUUCAAAUAUUUUGUUCAAUUUAAAUAGUGAUCAAACAAUUAUUAUAAUAAAAAAAAAAUCAAACCAUAAACUAUCAAAUCAAGUUGAUUCAUUUUAAAAUUCACUUUAAUCAAUAGUAAAAAAAAGAAAAGAAAAGAAAAGAAUAUAUUAUCCUUUAACAUAAAUUCUUAAUUCACAUUGCAUAAACAAUUUCAUGUUAAUUAUUUUUUGACUUUUCAUUUAUUUAAAUGUUAAGCUCAUUAAAAAUUAUAAGUUUAUUUUCAAAAUAUUCAACAAUUACAUUUCAAAAUUAUAACUAAAUAUUCUAUAAUAAAUUUUUUUUAAAACAAAAUUAACAUAUAGAUGGAAUGAUAGAUUAAGAACAUGUAUUUUUAAAUUAAGCAUGAAAUUGAAUUUUAAAAAAUAAUGGUGGAUAGAACUCGAGAAUCACCUAAUUUUAACUUGCUUAAUUCCAUACAUUUUUCUGUCUGUCCUUGCCACAAAGAUAAAUUUUCUCUUGCACCAAAGUGUUUUGUUAGUAUUACAUCUUCUAUGUUAUUUCCUUGUACAAAUCUCAACUUUUCAAAACUCGCACCUCAAUUCUCUCUUAUGUUCCAUUUCUAAUUAUCUACAUUUUGUUCAAACGAACAAAUGUUACAAUAUUUUGUGCAGAUUUAUGCAAUUAUAGUCGAUCUACUCUUAAGGCAUAUUUUAAAGCACAUGUUUAGACAACUAUUUUGUUAUAAUCAUGUAUGUUAUUAGAUAUCGAACUAUAAUGAAAUUGUUAUAUAUUUAUUAGAAAAAAAAAUUGAUGAGUCCUAUAAUCAAUGUUACAUUUGAGAAAUGAGAAACAUUGUAAAUUUCAAAAAUCAUGUCACAACAAAAUAUUAUGUAUUGGAACAGAUUUGGUAGGUUUUCUAAAUUUGAAGAUUCAUAUGAGAACUACUAUAUAAAAUAAUUCCUUUAUUUUAAAUAUAUCCCUCCAACAUAGCUAAUUAGUUAUUCUCUUACAAAAACGGUCGGACACAUCAUCAAUUCAAAUUCUACAAAUUAUGAGUAGAUACUGAAGGUAUGUUGUGACAUUUGUUUUAUGUGAUCAUAUGUAAUCGUGGUGAUCUAGAUGACUAAUUAACAAAAAUUAGUUUUGAGCAUAACCCAUUCUAUAUUUUGUAAUUACAACUAAUUCAUAUAUUAUGACGUGAGAUAUUACAAAUAACCGUGAUUCUCAUAGAAUUGUGACGAAUUUAUGUGAUGAUUAUUCAUAUAGGCAUAAAUGGUUAUCAAAUGUGACAGUUGUGACAUUUGACGAGAAGUUUAACCACAUGUGGCUAGUAUGAGUUGUGUCUAUUCUAUAUUGCUUUUUGUGUUCACGAACUGUAGACUUUCAAAAAAAAAAAAAAAAAAAAAAAGAGGGAGAAUAUCAUUUAAAUUGCUAUAUUUUGGGAAAAAUAUUAGAAAUGUAAUAAAGAAUUUUUGAAUUAAUUAAAUUCGUAAACAUCUGAUUUAAUUAGUUUAAAUUUCCAUAUUUUGGGAAAAAUAUUAGAAAUGUAAUAAAGAAUUUUUGAAUUAAUUAAAUUCGUAAACAUCUGAUUUAAUUUUUUUUUUAUCCAACACUUAAUUUGCCAAAAGUAAAAGUUAAAUAUUUUGAUUGGUCAAAUUGUUUUAUGGGAAAAUUUCAUAAAUAAGAGGAUAAUUAUUGUCUGUUUCAAAACUAAAAAUACAAGUUUGAAAUUUCAAAAAUCAGAUAUUUAAUAAAAUUUAUUUAUAAUUUAUUUAAUUAAUUAUAUAUUUAUUAAUUAGAUAUAUCAGGGUCACAUAUCUACAUAAUAUGGUCACAGAUUCACAAUUUAGUUAAUCACAUAUUAUUUUUCAAUCACAAAUCAUAAUUUUUAAAUGUCACAAUUCAAAAGUUUUAUAAGUUACAGAGUAUUCAUCAAUCACAGAUAAAGAAUUUAUACGUCACAAUUUAUUUAUAGGUCACAAAUCACAUAUAUUAUAUGUCACAACUUAUUAGAUACUCACAAAUUAAUAUUUUUUUAGGUCACACUUUAUUUUUUAGUCACAAUUUAUCUUUUUCAUUGGUCACAGAUUAACCAAUUUAAUGGUUCGAUAAACCAAAUAAUUUGUAAUCAUCACCAACACUUGUCGACAACCAUCGCCUCCACCUGCACCACCACUACUGCCACCUAAGAACAACACCACGACCUAAGAACAAGACCACGAUCUCAAACAAAUCAACACAUCCACCUCGACAGACAAUCACCACGACCACUCCCGUUUAUCAUUGCAUCGGACCGCACCGCACCACACCACACCGCCCACACAACACAACCAAAACCACCACGACCACCGUACCGCACCGUACAACACAACCAAUACCACCACAACCACUGCACCUCACCCAAAAAAAGCCCCAAAUCUACCACCGGACACUACCACCACCGCCUGUAUCAACCACAGCCACCACGGCCAUCACCUCCGCUCAACCAUAACACCACCACACACAACCCAACACAACCAACUCACCACCACAGUAAACAACCAUCACAAACUCAUUGCCGCCAAAUAGAGCUCGCCACGCACAGUAGUGUUCUGAUCUUGCUGUGCCCAGCGGCAAGCUCAAAGACCGCCACACUUAGCAAUGACUAAAUCACCAAAUCAUAGAGCUUAGUUGUCGUUCCUCACUGUUCAACCGAUGGAUUCGAUGUCGGUGAGGAAGAGAAUGGAUAGAAGAGAUCGAAAAAAGAGAACUGUCGUUGGGGAUUGGUGCGUUGUGGAGGGCACAACACGAUAGUGGUAUGAGGUUGAGCACUAGUGGCACAACGCGACACUGGUACGAGGCUGAGCGACGGUGAUACAACGUGACAGUGGUGGUGCGAGGCUGGGUUUUGGGGAUUGAUGUGAUGCUAUUCAACAUAAGACCACGGUGUUGCGAGGCUGAGAGGUGCACAACACGACGGUGAUGCAAGGAAGCAGAAUGACCCUCGCCGAAAAUGGUGGCAGUACCAGAAGUAGUGAUGGAAAGAAGAUUGAGACAGGGUAAGAAGGAUGAAUGAAUUUUAGGGUUUGGUUGGGCAUUGGGGUUGGAUUUCAUUUAUUUUAUAUAUUAUGUUUAAGUUUAAUUAAAAAAUUUAUAAUUUUUGAAAUGUUAAACUCCCCCAUUUGAUUCAGGACUUUAAUCCCAUGGUUACGUGUAAUUUCUACUUGUUUUAUUAAGAGGAAAUUACACCGUCCCCGGUGUUUUAACUUUACAGUGCAAAAAUCUGGUAUGAAGUUUUGUUAUUCACAAAUUCGGGAUAAAUAUGAUAAUUAAAUAUCUCCCCCAAUUCCAACCCUAACCAUUUCAAUUCACCCUCUCUCUCAACUGUUGAUUUGUCUCUCACGUAGCUCAUCAUUGACGACCAUCGCAACCUCGCCGCUUGAUGAAGACGAUGACGCAGCUGCAACACUCCAUGAGUGACGGUGUUGCCGUCGUGGCUGAGGACGAGUGUUUGCUCUCUCUGUCUCUCACGUCUCUCCUCAUCGGAGACCACCGCAGGUCGCCGCGCGACAAUGACACCUCUGUAACCGUGAGCGACGAUGUCGCCGCCGUGGCCUACGACGAGGACGAGUGCCGUUGUAGCUGGAUCUAACCCAUUUUGCUUCUUCUGCCUGUGUGACUGCUUUUGCUUGUGCAAUUGUGUGGAUCUGAAGACUAUAGUGCCUUGAACACGUUGACAACAACGAAGAUGGUGGUGGAUUAGACGGUGUUUUGUGUGGUGGUGGACCUGGUGGAGAAUUGAUGAUGGCGGUUUUUUUGGUGGUGGCUGUGGUGGUGAAUUUAUUCUCUGUAGUAGAGAAAUCUAGUGGUGGUUUUGGGUGUUGUGAUGGUGUUGGUGAUUGUAUUGUGUUGGUCAAUGGUGUGUGGGUGCUGUAAUGAUGGAUUUCCAGUCAUGGCUAUUGUUGAUGUGGUGGUGGUGUAUGGUGCGAUUGUGAUAGUAGUGGUGGCGUGCGGUGUGCAGUGGAGGUGGAAGUGUGCGACCAAUUUAACUAUGUGUGUUGGUGGUGCUAUGGUGCAAUGAGGUGUGCAGUGGAGAUGGAGGUGGUGGUGCGGUGGUUGGGUGCGUGCAAUAGCGGUAUGGUACAGUGCGAUGGUGUAGUGGUGGCUCAGAUGGUGUGUUGUGGUGUUGACCGAUUGUUGUGACGCGAUAGGGGUGCAAUGGUGGUGAUGGAUAGAGUUUGUGACCAAGUGCUGUGGUGAAAUUGGAUCGGGAUCGGGUGUGGUGUUGCGGUGGUAUAGUGCAAUUGACAAUUGGAUGGUGGUGGUUUGUACCCAAGAUUGGUGCUGGAUGGGACCGAUGGAAGGGGUGACCAUAAAGUUUGGUCUGUGACCUUAAAAUUUGAUGAUCUGUGACUAAAAUAAUAAUCUGUGAUUUCAAUGAUUUUGUCCAUGACCUUAAAAUUUAACGAUCUGUGACUAAAACAAUAAUCUGUGACCUUAACUAUUUCGUCCGUGACCUUAAAAUUUGAUAAUCCAUGACUAAAAAAAUCUGUGAGCUAUAAAAUUUUCGAUUUGUAACCUCGAAAUAAUUCGUGAUCAAUUAAUUUGAUGAUAUGUGAUUAAUAAAUAAAUCUGUGACCAUUAAUUAUUUUACUGUGACUUUAAUAUAUUUAUUUAAUAAAUAAUUUUAAUUAAUUAAAUACAAACUUGAAUUUUGAAUUUUCAAACUUCUUACCUGACUUUUAAAAUGGUGUAAGAAAUACACCUUAAAUAUGAAUUUUGCUCUUUUAUUAAUUACAUACUUGAUUGAGGCCCAUGUAAAGCCCAGUUAGAAGGCAUGCAUAUCCAACUAACAUUGUUCAAUUCAUAGAGGAAAGGGUACAAGAGGCUAAAGGUUUUCUUCAUCGGCAUUACGCUGAAAAUCAAGGGAUUCGUAACCCAUUGGCACCAAUUUAUCUUGUGUUGCAGUGAUUUACUCAACUUCUUCAUCAACAAAAUUGGAAGGUAGUAUCCAAUUUUAUGAGUGUAAAAACGGGCUUAUAUAUUAAAUCGCACUCGAUCGGAUUGUUCGGAAUGAUUCAAUUUCAACUCAACUCAUAAUUUAUUUAUUUGUCCAAAAUUGUUGUUUCUUGAUUGUAAUCUUCCUCUAGCAACAGUGAUUUUUCGACGAUAUUUCUCUUGAAUUCUUGAUGCGGUUGUUCAUGGUUUUCUCCUUGCCUUAAAAACUGGCUCCCCUGAAAUAUCCAAGACCAAAAUUCAGCUGGGCCAGUUGCCCCUCUAGUCCCCCAGGUGGAUUCUGUAAUGACGAAUAAUUGGAUAAGAUAAAAGGAAAUAAGAUUAACGUGGACAAAUAAGGGGAAAAAAAAAUGGAAAAGAAAAAAUGGGAUAUAUGUAGUUGUUAGAAAGUGGCAAACUACUCGGGACUGAACUAUACCUAACAUGGAAUGGCGAAUGGACUGGGGGAUGCCGAUUCGUUUCCGGUGUAUGAAAUGCUAUAACUAAUGGCAAUGCUUCAUGUAGGAAUUGGCAUGGCAGGUCAUGAAAUCCGUGCUUAAAUUUUUGAGUAGAUUUUUUUGAUAUUACAUAGUAUUCUGCACCUUUUCGACUUUAAUCUUUUGAACUGUUUCAUUUUGCAGAAGAAAAAGAACUUAACGAAAUGAGAGGAGGGCGGAAGAAUCUCAAGAGGGCAGUUGAGGAAGAGAUGGUGACUCUUCAGCAAGGCCAAAGCAUAAUGCAAGUUGUGGAUCUCAGGGGCUCCAAUCUUACUGAGGUACACUUACUCUUUCUAAGUGACAGACUGAGUUAUUUUCAAAUUAGAGGUUGUGCUAAAACUUACAAUCUGAAUGUGAAGGUAAUGGAUGCAAAAGGCCAGAAAUUGCUAGCAAUUUUUCCAGCAAAAUUCCAGAAAAGCAUGUGGAUCAAACGAGGUUUUGUUCUUUUGAUGAAAGUGUUGAAAUUAAUGCUGCCAUUAUCUAAUCAAGGCUCUCAUAAAUGUUUCUUCUAAUGGAUUUUUCUUAAUUUCUAGAUGGCCAUUAUUAUUUUUUUUGAAUUAUUUUCCUGAAGCUAACAGGGAUGAUGACUCCUUUGGUUUCAAUGAUAGGGAACUUUGUUGUGGCUGAUGAAGGUGGUAGAGAAGAGGCAGCCGAGUCUGGCAGAAAAGUUGGGUGCAUCAUUACGCGAGUACUCUACCAUGAACAAGUUCGUCUGCUUCAAAAAUGUCCAAACUGGUACAUACUUAUUCUAAAUUCUUCAUAAUUACUUCUCCAUUGUCCCGCUUUGCAAUAUAGGAAAUGGCUUAUUAAGGAUGGUGCAUGUGUGAUGAUCAUGAUAUAUCCUUUUAGUUGUCUGUUGUGCAGAUUUUGUACGUACUAGUACAUUUGGCCGAUAUUCUACAUUUGUCGUUUAGCAGCUUUUCUUUACGGCUAGUAAAGAACCAUCAUGUAACUUGUAUCUCCUGCAUUCCUGAUAUAUAGCAUGUUUGGCUGAUCUCAAAAGUAACUUAAAUUUAUUCUUUAAGUAAAUUUUUGUUUUCAAAUGUUUGAAUUGAUUACUUUUUUCUUAGGUUUGAGAUAAAAAAAGGUAGAUAUCCAAAAUAAAUAACGCAUUUCCAACUUUGAUCAACAAAUGCACUAAUCCCCUGGUGCAAUUGCUGGUGGUGUAACAAGGGGUUCGCAUUUCAAGAUUUCUUGCUAUAGAAGUACGAACCAGUUUGUGUUGCUGAAUUGAGGGGUGUGUGUUUGUGUGUAAAUGAUGGUUGCAUUGUUCUGUUUUUAUUUUGAAGUCGUUCAAGACACAUUGCAUCCGCUGAACAUAAAUUAACUGCAUGCUACAUUGCUGGCUAUCGAUGCAGGCCAGAAACGUUCAAAUCCACGCCCCCAGCUAACUUGAAGCCAUAUUCCCACUCACAUACAUCCGAAAGAGAUGAUUCAGAAAGUUCGACAGAUGAUGAUGGACUCCCACCAUUGGAAGCCAAUACAAACAGAUUAAAUCCUCUUCAGAUGCAGUUGGAUACCGAUUCUGAAUCGGAUACAAACAAUUCUUAAAUCUUAUAUUGUGACACUGUUAUACGCUUAUGCAUUGUACCAAGUGUAGUCAUACUUACGUCCAUUUUAAGUAGAGAUGUGCUUGCAGCACACAAGAUUUUUUGUUUCCUGAUGAUUUAUUGUUUUGUUCUUAUUUAUUUCUCAAAGCCUAGUUAACAUGAUGACAGACGUGUAAGAGAGCUAGGAAUGGCAAGAUGUUACGUCCCGAGGAGAAUUGGUGUGGGGAUGGAGGACAUGGUCGCUACCCUACUCUUAUGUUCUAUGUUAUUUUAAUAUAUUUUAAAAUUUAAAUCGUUUCAGAAAAAAAUAAAUAAAUAAGUAAAUGUGGAGGAAAAGAAAUGGUAAUUUAUAAUGUGUUUAUAGUUUAGAGUUUAAAUUGUAGUGGAAAAGUGACAUUAAUAUCAGAAAAAAUUAUUGUGCUGUUGUUAUACACAACAAACAACCAAUUCAAGGCAUCAAAAUAAAUCUUCUUGGUGGAUAGUUAUAGUUUGCCGCACAAUUUCUGAUAAGAAUAUCCGGAUGUUAAGAAUAUCCUUAGAAGAGAAUAGCAGAACGAGAGUUUGGUAUGAGAUUUCUCUUACUGGUGGUGUCAUUUUAUUUGUAUGCUUCGCUUGGUGGAGGGGCAAAACCAUCAGAAAUGUAUUGAACUAUAGUCGUUCCUUCCUGAAGUGAGAAUUUAAGAACUUCCCGACAAGCAUUGCAUCUCAGUCGCUGAUAUUUUUUCUUGGAUAAGAGAAAGUCUGCUGGUAGCUGCAACAAUUCCAAGCAAUGAUAACAAUUCACAAAUGGAGCUCCACCAGCUAUAGGCCGGAUAUAUCUCUUUGCUGCCUGAUAUUUCUCCCUCGAAUAUGACAUUUUCAUCUCGUCAUCCAAUAAGGAAGCCUCAGAGCUCAUGUAACGCUGGGGAGUCGAGGAACUCGAGGCAUGAGACUGAACACUGUCACAACACAUUGAAUGUGAAGGAAACUGUGGUGAGCAACAAUGCACACAAGAGCAGUUGACUUGGCGACUGCAAUGUGCGGCGUCCACGGAAUGUGGCAUUCUUGAGGCACUGCAUUGUCCAGGCCAACAUUGUACUUGACUGUGUCUCAUAUGAUACCUAGGAUGGUUCAAAUCUGCAUGCAUCUCCCUUUCUGGUACUAAAUGAUCAUCAUACAGCGGAGUAUACUUUUCAUCCAUGAUAGACGGAAACCCUCUGUUUGUCAUAUCACUUGAAAAACGCAUCCUGUUAAGCUGAUCUUCGAGUUCAUAGACCAUUCUCAACAAGUCCAUUUUGUCUGGUUCUGAGUUAGAAGGCUCACCUGGUGAAUAAAAGUUCGGAUGGUGCUCAAAAAGAUUGUGCUGAUAACUCAGAGGUUUUCCAUUUCCAUGACUUUCCAUGAAAUCACUGGGACUGAAUGGUGAUCGAGAAAAACUUUCUUUAUCAAAUCUUGUCCUGUUUUCACUGGUGUGAUCGUAUCUUUUUGUUUCAGGCAACUCAAACUUUCUUCUGGAUGGUUGUAAAAUAUGGUUGGGAAUUUGAUCAUCCGUUCCAUCAUAAGAUGAUACACUACCAUCAUAAGCAUAGUAACUUCUGAUUGUAGGAGAUUUAUACAUAUCCUCACGUUUAUCGCUAAGAUCAUUAAUAGGAUCAACAAGAGGCAAGCUUCCCAAAGUAUCUACCGAACUUGCUCUGCCAAUAGUUUCAGGACUCCAGGAAUGCUCCAUGUGUUCACCAUCUGAAGUGAUGAAAUCGACUGACACAACGCUAUCGUUCAAGGGGCUUUCAGCAGCAACAAAUAGAUCUCCAGUAUGCGUGUUCAAACUGCUUUCCUUGCUCAAGCUUCUAAAGUUUGGAUGAAUCUUGAUAUUCUCAUUGGGGUCAGUAGUUGGUCCAGUUGGACGUGAUGAAGUUUUGAGACUUUUUGAAAUGUUCGAAAUCUUUACAUCAUUUUCUGGUACAAUAUAUUGACUUUUGAUCCCCUCGAUAUUUUCUCCAACUUCCAUUGGAUGCCUUCCAUGGCAUUUGUCCAAAGGAAUCGUGUCAUUCCAUGCCAUGCAUUCUCUAACUUCUUGGGUCGAUCCAUCAACCAUAUGACAAUUAAACUUGUUUGAACUAGGAGAUUCAUCAGAUAAGUUUCUGCCUCUACUCCAUUUCCUAUUGUAAUCCUGCAGAAACCUGGAAUCUAAUCUGCCGGUAUUUUGCUCCAAAGGACAUUCAUCUUCAUCCAAAGAUUUUCUUGUCUCAGCAGAUGAAUCUUUUCUCUCAAAACAGUUAACCUCGGGCUGACUAGAAAUCUUAUCAGAGAAGUUUUUGUCAUGUCCACCGUAAUCUCCCGCGUUGUCAUUUUCUGUCGAGGAUCCUCCACUCAAGGGAGGAGUUAAAUCUUGAUUAGAGCCAGCCUCUUCCUUCUCUCCUGAAACACGAUCCUGCUCGGUUUUGACAACAGCAUCUCUUUCUUGUAAGCGUACAUUUGCAUCAUUAGAUUCAUUUUUCCAAUUUUUAGCUACAUGCAGGCAAAAACAGAAGGAACAUAAGAAGACAAAAAGAAAGAUAGGAAGUAGAAAAUAAGCCCACAAAACAUCAGUAAAAAAAAUUGAGGUCUUGGUGUCAUGGAUUACUAUCUUUACUAUUGAAAGUAAUAUAAUUAGAACAGAGCACAAUUUUUUUUUUUUUUAAUAAUGGCUCAUCCUCAAUGUGAGAGUUACGUUCACUUUUCCAUUACUGAUUUUCUCCACAACGAAGAAGAUAAUAGGGCCUCAUUCUACCACCCAUAAACAAUCCCCUUAAUAUACUUGUAUAGUAAAAAUUUUAGGUUCCAUUCUGUCCAACACAAUAUAGUUAUGUUCCACACGGCGAAAUAUAGGAUGAUUAGGUUUUACACAGUCCAACAUUUGGCAGCUUUAAUUCUUAAUUCUACCCAUGCCAAGUAUCUGCAUCGCAAAAUAGAUCAUUUUCAGGGGCUAGAACUACACUUUUUAACAUAUUUUCAAUCUUUAAAUGCCAUACUAAUCAUCCCACGAGAUAUUAUAAUAAGCUUCAAAUAAAUUUCAAGAAACAAUAUCAUACUAUUAAUAUGAGAUAAGUAAAACUGGAAAGUUACUACCUUGGAGAACUGUACCACAUCCUCCACACUUGUAUAGAGGAACAUCUGGCAACUCUGCUAGAACCUGUUGGCAUCUAGGACAUCUAACCAGUCGGACUUUUGUGGUUGGUGGAGUACUCAUUUUUCACCUGAUAUUUGGCUUAUCGAAUCAUCAAAGAUCAACCUUUUCAAACUCUACCUUUAACUUGCUAGAAGUCUAGGAAACAAAGAGAAGAUAUGUACGAACAAGAUAUCCAACAAGCCUGAUGUUGUUUAAAUACCAAAACCUGUUGGAAACCAUGAGAAGUGAAUUUUAGAGUAUUUAUGCAGACAAAUUCACACAAAAACAGAUUACAAGAGAACAGCAAGAUAAAUCAUUACAAGAAAAAAAUAUACCACUUAACCCACUAAAUAUUCAUCAAAUCCUUGCAUAACUGUGUCGCAUCUUACUUGGAAAAAAAAAUCCAUUACGUAUUAAGAAUGUAUAAAGUACAAAUAGACUCUUUAGUUAUUCUAACAGUUUUCCCAUUCUAACUUAAACUAGGAAGAUUUUUCAUGUUUUCCUUAGCCUCUUGCAAUAGACAACUAAGAAAAAAUCGAAAAAUAAAGAUUUUUUUGAAUAGAAUUAACAAAACUGAAUCAAACCAAUUGCCAAGAUCUUAUAAUAGAAGCCAUGACCUGGAUGCCAUAUUCAUUCUUUUUAACCAAAGCCUCGCACUGUGUAAAAUUUUCAUAAAUGGAUAGCUACCUUCGACAAGAGUGUCAUAGCAAAAAUCGACAUAUAGUGUAAUGAAAUUCAUGUAAAUCACCCAAGUCCCAACACGUUUGGGCAAAUAAAUGUUUGAAAAAAAGGGUAUUUUGUACAAUCUUGAAACUAAUCCCACGAAGAUUUAAGACAUGAUUUAGCAAGCAAAGAAAGAUGGGAAUUAAGAAGCAUACAUAAUAUAAUGACAUAUUAAAUUAAUUCUACCUUCUCUACCGAAUUUGUGUAAAACCCAUUUGAUUAAACACAGAUCAGAUCAUAAUCAAACUCAUUCUCUCUCUAUAUAUAUAGAUACAAUACAGAUAUAUGAAUAUGUAUAUCAGUACAUGUAUAUAGAGAGAAAGGAAAUAGAAUGAAGCAAGAAAAUGAGUGGGAGUAAGGAAAUAGACGAACCAACCUGGGAAGAAACAGGGUACCGAUGAGAAAAUCUUUUUCACCAUUAGAUCGUCUUCUUCUUCUCCUUCCUGCUAUUUUCCACCCCUCUCUCUCUCUCUCUCUCUGUCUCUGUCUCUCUCUCUCACACCCACACAAAUACACACACAGAGCACCAACUACCACAAUUAUGGCGGUGUCUUUCUCAACCGUAAAAGAACAGCUUGUCAAUCCCACAACUAAAAGUCGAACUCUUGAUUUCGUCUUAUUAUCUAUCUCUCUAAAAGAAAGAAUGAUUGGACACGGAAGAGACAGGUAAAAGCGGGACCAGAAUGAUAAGAAUUUUUCUUAACUGUACAAAGAAUUAUGUAUUGAAUAGAAUAGAAUAGAAUAGAAUAGGAUGAUGCUUAAACACAAACUCCCACGACCCACAAGUCAGCUGCUUAUUGUUGCUGUUUCCAUUUUAGGGGAAAAAAAAGAAAAAUUAUGCUGACAAACACAUUUAUGACAUAUGUUUAGCCCAUUAAAAAUCAGAUUUUUAAUUAAUUUUGAUAAAUGUUGAUGAAAUAUAUGGUUAAAAAAGUUAACAAUCCCAUAAAAUAUAUGAUUAAAAUUAAUUGUUAACUUUUUUUAAAUUAAAACUUUAAGAUGCACCGAAUAUAGACUUUUUGUAUGUUCCACUUGAAUGACCGUAGUUAACAACCUAUUCUAUAAUUCAUUUAUUUAAUUUAGCGAAUCAAAUAUGUCAUAAUAUUUUAUAUAUUUUCACAAAGUGAUCAAAACAGCUAUUGUCCAACUUUGAAAUAUUCAAAUAUCUAAAAAUAGCAUGAGAAAUGAAACUGAAAUAAGUAAUUAUACUUUAUUUUGAAGUUGAAAAUCCAUAUCUUCAUUGAAUUUUUCACAAUAUUUCUCAUAGACAAUAAAUUUUUAUCCGAAUAUUCAUCAAACUUAUCAAAACUUUAUCUCAUCGUUCACUCAGUAACUUGUCGUUUGAACAAUCGACAGACUAAUAGACAUGGCAAAUGAAAUUGCUAGCAUGUCACGUUAUUGCCGUCAAUUGUGACAAAUCAGCCAAAAACUCUUUCCAUCCAUUAAACUGCUAAUAAAAUAUUGAUUAAAGGAUAAAUGGAUAUUAUAGAAAAUCCUCACUCCACCUUCCUCCGAAAAGGAUGUCUCAGUUGGAAAUUAUAUUAAGUUUUAACUUUCAAAAUUAUUAUAUUUUAAAUUUUAAUUUUGGUUUAAUUAAAAUCUUAAUUUAUAAUAUAACAUACAAUUAAAUAUUUGAUUGGACGUUAUGAAUUGAUUAAUUUUCAUUAGUGUGGGGGGUUUAAAUUAUACACUAUAAAAAGGGAGGACACAACAUCAAAAUCACACUCUUGAGAUACAACUAGAAUACAUAACUUGAGAUAAUUGAAUCCAAAAAUAUUCUCUAUAAUUUUAUAAUAUACUAUUUUGGCAAAUCGAUGAAAGUCUCAUUCAAUUAUCUUCCUAUGGUCGCGCCCAUAGAAGUAAAGCCACAUUGGUUUUAUUUUAGAGCCAAGUAGUGCCAAAAGAACCCGCGCGAAGGGAAAGUGAUACGACUUUAGGAUAUCAUCCUCGACGUGACUCCCAAGGCUUGUCAUUUCUAACUCUCCUCUUAUGUUUGCAUUCUUGUUGAGAUAUUACUUAUAUGUUUAUAUUUAAAAUAGUUGUGUUAAAUAAUAUUUUAUAUACACACAAAUCACCAAAUUUCUCAACAUUCUAAAGUUGUGUUGUGAUUUGUGUAGAUGAUUUUAUGGUAAUAUUUAAACAACGAAGUGUUUCAUGUGAUGCUUGAUUAAUGUGUGCCUUGUGUAUAAAUAAACUUUUCUCUUAGAUAAAUCGUAAGUGUGAUCUUUAGUCAAUAAAUGUAUAUUUCUUCUUUGAUACAUUUGGAUUUAGUUUUCAUGAACUUAAUGUUAAUAGUAUUUUCAUUUAACUUUUAUUUUUAUCUUAUAGUGGCGGAGUGUGCAAAAGAAAUAAUGAUCAAAUAUGUAAAAGCAUGCUUCUAGUUGGAAAAAAAAUAAUAAUAAAAAAAAAGAAAAAAAAUCCAUGAAUAUCUCUUAGUAUAAAAAUCCUCCAUUAAUUUUCUUAAUUUUGUUUAUCAGCUAUUAAUUAUGAGCAAAUGCUAAUUGACUUUGUCAGCAAAAGUCAUUUUAGACUAUCAUUUCCAAUAUUUUCUAAACACAGUUUUUUUUUUUUUUUUCCCACUAUAUUCUCUGGCCGUUUAUCUAACAGUAGUUUUCAGUUCACUUGAGUAUUACUUGAAAUAAUUCUGUUUUAUGUGGAAUUGAAAUUUGACAAAAUUAAUGUUCAGUUUCUCUUGCACCUAUCCCAAUUUCUCUUCAACACACAAUCUAUUGUUGAAGAUUUAAUAUUCGCAGUUGUUUGUUUUAGAUGCAACAGUCGUGAACCUAUUUUUACAUCCCUACAUGUACAAAAUUUGAUUAAUGUUAAUAUAUAUAUAUAUAUAUAUAUAUGGUUCCCAUUUGAACAUAAAUAAAAGUAUAUAGUCUGCUAUAUGUGAAUUCAAUCUACUUGCUGUAUUAUCCAAUAUUUUGAGUUAUGAGUCUAGCUGUAAUUUAUGGCUACAAAUCUCAUACUUAUUCAAAACUUAAGUGAGUACCCAGUACUAUUCCGUGGCUCAAAGGGUACAUACAUUUGGAUGCAAUUGAGACAACCUAUAAAUAUAUUAUAUACUGAAUUGAUCUAAUGACUUUUAUUCUCAUAAUUCCAACAGAAAAUGGUACUCCUUGCCAUUCUUGUGGAAUUGUUUCUAAUUUUUUACGUGGAUAGUUAAAUUAAAAAAAUGAGAAAAUUUUGGUCUAAAUAUAAAGUGAGAUAUUAUUAUCGUACAUUAUAACCAUAACUAGUAUUUUGUCAUGUACAUGAAUGCGAUGAAUUACACUGUUUACAUGGGAAUUCUAUGAUUUCAUUUUGAACAAAUGAUUAAAAGAUUUAACUCACAAAUGUGUCUAAUUAUCCCUUUAGAAAAGUUUUAAUUGUAACUCAUGUGAAUAAUAGUGAUUUUAUUCAAUUUAGAUACGUAACUCAUAUUUUGAUGUUAGAAUAAUUAAAUUUGAUUUAAGUUUUGAAAGCUUUAUAUCUUAAUAAUUAAAUUUUAUAUGAGCCCUUAUAAUUUUAAGUUAGUAAAAUGAAUGCGUGUGGACGAUGAAUUUGGAUUAUAUUCUAUAUUUGCUAGAAUUUCACGUGAUUGUGCUUAAUCGAAAGAAUAUUUCUUUUGUGGAAUAUUUGAUUUACUAUAUUUGAAAAUUAGUUUACGGUCUAAUUAAAUUUUGGCACUAUGGUUUGCUAAUAUGGAGUACAAAAUUACAAGCAUUUUGUAUUCAAGAUUUAUUUUAUUCUUAUAAAGGCACGUUUACUUAGAUUAAUGUUGAUAAAUCAUAUUUGAUAUUUUAUAGUUAUGCUAAUUCUAAUUCUUAUCGUCUAAUGUUUUGUGAUACAUGAAUAUUAUUGUGUUCAAUUAUGUUGUCCAAGUGGAAGUACUUAAAAUCCUUGGAAUGUGGGGGUAUUAAAGAAAAAUUUCGAAUAUAUGUAUUGUAUCCAUGAAUAGUUAUAAUUAUCAUGAAAUUGUCAUUUUGAGCAAAGUGUACAGAUUGAAGUUGAAGAUUGCAGGUGAAGUGAAAGAGCUCAAUAGUAGUAUUUGUCCAACCAUGAUACUAAAAGUCAAUAUUAAAAUUAGUCAAUAUAAAAAAUUUCAUGAAGUUAUCUUAUAUGUGAUAUUAACAUUUUAGAAAAGUUCUUAGCUGACUUUGCAGAUGUAUAUGAAGAAUUGCAAAAUAAUGGUACCAAUUUAUUGUCCAAGAGACAUGAAUAUAUGUAGUCCGAGAUGAACAUACAUAAAUCAUUGAGGGGGAUGAGUUUAAGCUCAUAAGGGAGUCAUCUCCGGAAGUAAUCCAACAUUUGUGAUUGGAGAUCUCAUGAAGAAGGUUCAACGUGGUAGAAACAAUCUGUACUGUGUGACUUGUAAUAGCACUAUUUAUUUGUGCUCAUCCCUAUGGUGAUAGUGCUAAUAAUAAUGUGAUGUUAGGAAUGAUUUAAUUUUGAAUGAGUACCGAUGCGAGAAUUCUUGCGAGGUGUGGGUCACACACACCUUGAAGGAUUCACCUAUGUAAGAGUUGUCAUGAGGCCGUGGCUAUGGGAUUGAGCUAUUCUCUAGAGACUCUUACUAGAAUCAAGAUUAGAGCGCAUGACCAUUAAAAGCGCUACCCGCUAUGAACUGAGUCUAAAUCGAUACUGUGUGUAAAACAAUUAAAAUUUAACCAAAGAGACCUAAUUCAAUGUUUAGUCUAUUGUGGUUCCCUCAAAUGGAAAUCGUUAUCAUUAAGUGAGAUUCAAAUCCAAAAGACACCUACACCUACAACACAGUAUAACGUUGCCACUAUAUAAUAUAUAUUUCUUUAUUUUGGAAGAUUAAGACUUGUGGGGGACUAUUGGAAAUUAUAUUAAGUUUUAACUUUCAAAAUUAUUAUAUUUUAAUUUUCAGUUUUGGUUUAAUUAAAAUCUUAAUUUAUAAUAUAACAUACAAUUAAAUAUUUGAAUGGAGGUUAUGAAUUGAUUAAUUUUCAUUAGUGUGGGGUUUAAAUUGUGCACUAUAAAAAUGGAGGACACAACAUUAAAAUCACAAUUUUGAGAUACAACUAGAAAACACAACUUGAGAUCAUUGAAUCCAAAAAUAUUCUCUACAAUUUUAUAAUAUACUAUUUUGGAAAAUCAAUGAAAGACUCGUUCAAUUAUUUUCCUAUGGUCGUGCCUAUAGAAGAAGGGCCAUAUGAGUUUUAUGUUGAAGCCGUGUAAUGCUGAAAAAAUUCUCACGAAAGGAAGGUGACAUGACUUUAGAACAGCGUUCUUGCCGUGACUCCCAAAGCUCGCCAUUUCUAACUAUCCUCUUAUGUUUGCAUUCUUGUUGAAUUAUAUUACUUAUAUGUUUAUAUUUAAAAUAGUUGUGUUAAAUAAUAUGUUAUCUACACACAAAUCACCAAUUUUUCCAAUAAUCUCAUAUGUUGUUGAAGUUAAAAAUAAUAAUAAUAAUAAUAAAAAACCCAUUUUCACACUUUUUAGUGGUUAAACACUUAAAAUAAUUACUCUCGUGUAUACUCAAAGUGAACUUCUUAUUCUUCUUCUUUCCUUGUGUAUCCUCAAAUUGGAAGCAAUGUAUACACAUUAAUCAUUAUGUUGGUGGAAUUCCAAUAAUAGAGAAUUGGAGAUACAAAAAGAGAAAAUUUCAUAAGUAAGGGAUUAAUUAUGGCACAUUUCAAAAAUAAGAAAACAAGUUACAAAUUUCAAAAAUCAGAUUUUUAUUAAAAUUAUUUAUAAUUUAAUUAAUUUAGUAAUUAAAUAUAUUUAAGUCACAGAUUUAUAUAAUUUGAUUACAAAUUAACGAUUUAAUUCCUCACUUGUUCUUUUUUGUCACAAAUCAAAAUUUUAUGUCACAAAUUAUUUUACGGUUAUAAUUCAACAAUUAUAUAGGUCAUAGUUUGUUCAUCGGUUACAAAUCGAAAAAUUUAUAAGUCACGAUUUAUUUAUUGGUCACAAAUCACAAAUAUUACAUAUCACAACUUAUUAUACAAUCACAAAUUAUCAAGUUAUCGAUCACAAAUUAACAAUUUUUUAGGUCACAUAUUAAUUUUCGAUCACAAUUUAUCUUUUUCAUUGGUCACAUAUUAUUUAUUGGUCAACCAAUUCAAUAGUCACGGUCAACCAAAUAAUAAGUGACCGCCACCAACACUUACAAUUCACAGUCACAAUUUUCAGGUCACGUAUCCAAUUGUGAGUCACAAAUCAACCAAGCAGCCAUGACCACUACAACCACCGUCAUGACCAACUAUGACUUCCAAAUUGUGAGUUACAAUUGGGAGUCACAAUCACAAUUUUAAGGUCACAAGUCCAAUUAUUUGUCAAAAUCAACCAAAUCGCCACGACCACCACAACCACUUUAAUCCACCACAACUACCACCGUCACCACAAAAUCGUGUAGACCACCAAUAUUAUUCAAUUUCAUAGUUUAGUAUACUUAAUCCUUUCAAUAAAAUUAAAUUUAAUCUAACAAUCUAACAAUUAUAAAAUCAAGCAUAACUUGACAAUAAGUAACUUUUUACUUACCUUUCAAAAUUGAGGAAUUCAAGCCUAAUAAUGUAGACCACUUAAUUCCUAACACGUUGGCAAAAUUUUUUUAUUUAUUUUCCUUCUUCCUCCCUUUUUUUUUAUUUUUUUAUUUUUUUUAUUUUUUUUAUUUUUUUCUCUUUUCUCUUUCUCUCCAUUCUCGGCUUCUCUCACCUGUGUAAAUGAAAUGGAUUUGUUUUAGUUGGGACUUGGAUAAUGGAUUAAGUUUGGUGGAUAUAUAUAUUUUAUAUAUAUCCACCGUCUGCCCACUUAUUAUAUAUAUAUAUUUUUUGAAGUUUGACUUUUUUUUAAUGUAUUACAAAACUCACUCCCUUAAAAAAAUUUCGUCCUCAAAAUUCGAUCAACUAAGAUUUGAAUACCCAAAUGUACAAAGCGUACCUAAUGAAUGACUUUCUGUAAUAACCUUAACUAGACACAAUUUAUUCUUUCAUAUCUUGCAUCUUAUUUGGCUUUUCGGAGUUGAGAUCUCUAUAAUUUCAUCGAUAACCUCAAAGCACAAAUUAAAUCUAAUAUCUAUUUACUGAGCCUUAAAAAUAGACAAUACUUUCUUUAAUACCAAAUAACCGUUGUAACUUCACCAUUAAACAAGUAGGCCCAAGUUUUAAGUAACACCUCAAGGAGCAAUAUAUGAUAUUCUCAACUUUUCAUUUUACCCCGUCGUAGAAAAAUUCAAUUAUUUCCCAAUUUAAAGUUCAAGAUACGACCUUUCAUGUUACUCGAAAUCUUCACCUCCCUUUUUCUUUUCACUAUAACAAUGGUCACAUAUUAAGAUUCAAUAACUUUCUUUUGCAACUUUCAUCCCAGUAAAUAAGCUUUCGAAAUAUGUAAGCAUCAUAUAUAACCUCAAAAGAGUUAUUUGUAGCAAGUUCUAAUAUGCCAACUUCAAUUUUCACCAUUUCAAAUAAAAAUAUACCUUAAACUCCGAUGAUAGUAAGUAUUGAUGUUUUUCCAUUGCGAUGAGACCACAUUUUCUAAAUUCAACCCCAAUAUAAACAACUAUAAAUCAUGUUUUAAUCAUGCCUUUUCAACAAUCUAUAGUAUCAUCCAUAAUUUAUAAGUUUACUUCAAAAUACCUUCUAAGCCUUAAUAUAAAUCAUUAUCGUGAAUCAAUUACUUAUCAUUUUUAGAUAUAAGAGCAAAUAUUUCCUCAAAAUUUCCUAAUAGCAAAACUUUUGAUAUUUCUAUACCCAUAUAAAUUUUGUUCUUUCUUUCUAUGAAGAGAAAAUAAUAACAUUUAAUCAUGAAAAUCGAUACUCUUAUUCCAUAAAUGGGUCGUUGAUCUAUCAUCCCUAUGUAAAUGAAAUGGAUUUGUUUUAGUUGGGACUUGGGUAAUGGAUUAAGUUUGGUGGAUAUAUAUAUUUUAUAUAUAUCCACCGCCUGCCCACUUAUUAUAUCUUUUUUUUUUUUUUUUUAAAUGUAUUACAGUUUAACUCGAUUACCAUUUAUAAUGAGAAUAUAUCAAACAAAAAAAAUAUAGUAGAUCACAGGAAUUAUCUAAGGAGCAUGGUGCUCAUUUUAUGCUAAGCACCAGUGACAAUGUCAUAUAAUUUCAUUGGUGAAUUUUAAACUUAAUUCAAAUGUUGAGGCUCACCAUAUGUUUAUCCAUCAAUAUAUACUUAACAUAAUAUGAGCAUUAAUGCUUAAUAGAUCAUUCCUGUAGAAAACCAUGGGAUACGUAUAAAAAUAAUCAUAAUUUCCUUAGGAAAAUGUAUAAUGAUGGAAGAAACUCAAGCCCUCAAAACGUUCUCGAAAAUAUGAGAUUAUUGUCUCACUUUGCAAUGUCCAAUGGUAUGUGCAAAGAUUUUUCAGAUUGUAUCAGCCCUUUACUCCAAGUUACACCAAAUUUGUCGCACAAAUUUUUUACACGAAUGCAAUGCAAAAAAAACUCCUGAGUAAAAUAAAAGAGGAAAGAAAAUGGAAGAUGUUAAAGAAUAAAGACAAACUCACAGCAAGAGAUUACUGUGAAUCGCCUUUUUCAAGCUUUACAAUUUUUUCAUGGUGUUUCCUCCUGGUUUCUUGAAGUUCCAUUCCGGAAUCCUCUUCAUCCUCCAACUGUUCACGGUCUUCAAACUCCUUAGUCGCUGCUAAUGCCUUGAUAACUAGAUCCUGCAGUUCAGAAAUUAGACCACCACCGAUCAUAUACUCUUCUUCGUCCCCAAUGAAGAACAACCACUGAUCAGGUCCACCUGCCAUGGGAAUAUCAACUGCCAACAACUUCAUAUGGUGCUGCAUAAAAACAGAGAAAUAUUUGCUGAUGUAAGUAGGAGCUGAACAUUUCUAACUUCCUAUGAAAGUUAAAACUUCAAAAAAUCUAGCUCAAGUAAGUAAUCUGAUUUUACAUCUCAGAGCCAUGGGAAAGCAUCAAGUUUGGCUAGGCCUAAAACUAUGUAAAAGUAAAUUUUAAGUGAUUUUUUAUUUCCAAACAUGUUCGUAAGUCAACUUUUUUCUUAAAUGUCAAAUUCAAAAAAUUUAAUUAUUUUGAUAAAGUUUGGAGCUCAGUUAAAAGUCAUCAUAGAGGCAACCCAAUCUAACGAUCUAGGUUUAAAAGGACUACCAACCUUUGUAAGACAAUAGUUGUUUAAUUCCUAUCCAUUCUUAUGACAAGAACUUGCAUAUGUAUAUAAUAGGGUACACUUUUCUUUAAUGAUUUCUAUAAAACAAUGAAGAAAAUUGUGGAGUGAAUAAGUUUACUCAUUCUAGAAAUCACUAUGUAAGUGAGAAGAGAACUUUGUAGGUUAAAUUCUUUAAAACUACAGGUGUAUAAGGCUAAAAUAAACACAAACGCGAGGACUAUCUUUAACACAGAAAUACCACAUGACUUCUUUGUUUUGGUUUACACAAAUGACUAACAGUUCAAGAUAUCAAAUCCAUUGAUUAGUCAAAUCAGGUAGAUCUCACUGGAGAUCAAAGUCUUUAACUACUUGACCGGAGCAAAUUGUCUUCUUCUACAAACCGAACAAUAUUCUAUGUUCUAUUUUAGCCAAUUUCAUAUUCAUGAGGGGGAUUGUUGGAAACAAAUAGAGAUAAAUGAAGAAAUUGUCUUCAUUGUAGUUUCAACACCAGAACACCUAAAUUCAAUCUAUUGCAGGAAACUCCAAAAAAAAUCGCUUAGAUUGAGCUAGUCAAUGCUGCAUUCAGCAGAGUCUUCAGCAGGACAAAGGCCACAACUUCGUUUGCGACCUUUUCAAUCCCCGGUUUCUUCUCCUUUACUUCCUGCAAACUUGUCAUUGAAGAAAAUUACCUGAUCCUUUUGUACAAAGCCCUACACUUCUUCAUUCUUCAAAUUUCAUUUAUGGGGUAAGCUGCUGCGGCGCGCGACAUUUCACAUCAGAACUUUUAAAACCUGAGGUUUUUCUUUACUUAGAUCAAUGUACAACGCCGAGCUAAUAUUUUUAGAAUCAAGAAUCAUUAAUGAGGCUAUCACUAGAACUGCCUUCUAAAAUGUCAACCAUAAGUUUGUGGAAAACAAUUGAUUUACAGUUUAACGUAAACUCGUUUUCUUUAAUAUUGUUUAAGUAGAUUUCACAUAUUAGACAUUCACUCGUCUUCUUCUCACUUCAUUUCGUAUUACUUUUUCCAUUUUCUCCUCUCAAACCCUCAUUUGUUGGAGUCAUUUGAUGUCACCAAUUCAAAUUGUUACUACAGGUAUUGUUCCAUCAUUAGGAGCCAGAGAUUCAAGUAAGGAGGUUCUGGAAAUAAAUUCAUAGGCUAUCAAAAUCUUCAGCGCAGCUGGUGAGAAUUCUGACAUGUGCAGCUUGCUUCAUCCAACUGGCAUGUUGUCAUGCGCAUUUUUUCAUGUUAUGUGGAGGCUCUACGAGUGCGUGUUACAUGAAUGUGCUGCAUGUGUUUGUAACAUGCAGGUAAGUUGUGUCUGCCAUAUAUGUGCUAUCUAACAACUGACCUUGUUUGGCCAUGCUUAAAAGUUACUUCUUGAAAUAGUGAAUUUUGUAUUAGAAAAUAUUAACUUGUAAAAAUUAUGUUUUGUUCAACAAAUAAUGCUCAAGCACAACCAAACAUGCUUUAACCUUUAAGGAGAGUAGAUAAAUCUUCAGUAAAUCCAGAAACAUCAUACCAUCGUCCUUUACAACUCAGAUUAUUCUCCUACAUUACAUACAAAAAGUUUGUUAGAGGAAAGAUGGGUUUACUAACUUGAAUUGGUUAAGGCUUUUAAGAGGACAAUACUAAUAGGAAGAAGGAAGUGAAAAAAGGAAACUUGUAUUUCUCAAAUUCAAGACUUUACACACUUUUUGGCUUGUUACAGAAUGGAGGGCACUAUUCCUUUAUAUAGUAUUUACAAGAAGAUUCUAGUCCACACAUUUUCUAGAGACACCUUGACCACACAUCAAGAUAUUUUUCUAGAAUUUUCUAGAUAUUCUUUAUAUAUCUUACUUAGAUAUUUAUAUAGAUUUUUCUAGUAGAUAUUUAUAUAAAUUUUUCUAGUAGAUAUUUAUAUAGAUUUUUCUAGAUAAUACUUCUAGAAAUGCUAUGCAUGUUGGGCUUUUUAAUUGAUUUGGGCUUAUAAGCAAAAUUCUUAAGUCCAUAUUAUUUAGGCCAAAAAUCAAGUUUACUUGAUGUAGUAUGGCAGACACUUGAUGUAGCUGCAACAUAUUCAGCUUAACAUGUAGAUAGUGCUACGAUCGAUUGCUUCUUUGAGCUCCAAGUGAAAGCUGUGUUGCCCAAGUAAAACACAUACCCAGUCGUACUUUUUCUAUCAUCACUAUCUCCGCCCCAAUCGCUGUCACUAUAUCCAACAAGGUUGAACUCAUUAGAUGAUGAAUAGACUAAGCCAUAAUCAAGCGUACCUUUGAUGUAGAAAAGAAUUCUCUUUGCAGUUUUCAUAUGGGUCAUGGGAGGUGUCUCCAUAUAGCGACUAAUAAGCCCAACUCCAAAAAGGAUAUCUGGUCUUGUGCACGUCAAAUAUCUUAGAUUUCCAACAAGACUCUUAAAAAGUGUUGGAUUUACUUUUUCAUCUUCAUCAUCCUUCGACAACUUGAUUCCGCAUUUGACGGGGGUGCAUACGUGCUUACAGUCCUCUAUAUUGAAUUUCUUUAGAAUUUCUUUCGCAUAUCCUUCUUGUGAGAUGAAAAUGUAGUCCUCCAUUUGCUUUACCUCUAUCCCAAGAUAGUAGGCCAUGAGACCGAUAUCCAUCAUCUCAAAUUCUUGAGCCAUGACCUUCUUAAACUCAGUGAUCAUACUUUGAUUAUUUCUUGUGAAUAUAAGAUCAUCUACAUACAAACAAACAAGCAAAAUAUCUCAUUUCUCAUUUACCUUCGUAUAAAGGGCAUACUUGUGAGGGCAUUUUGUAAAGUCAUUUUCUAGAAAAUACUUGUCAAUUCUACUAUUCCAUGCCCUUGGAGCCUGGUUUAACCCAUAUAAAGCCUUUUUUAGUUUCAGGACUUUACCUUCGUGUCAUUUUAUUUUAUAGCCCAUUGAUUGCUUCACAUAAAUUUCUUCUUCGAGAUAGUCAUUUAGAAAUGUAGAUUUCACGUCCAUUUGGAAUAUCUUUCACUUAUUUUGCGCUACAAAAGAGAUAAUUAAUCUUAUGGUUUCUAAACGAGCAACAGGAGCAAAUACCUCUUCAUAAUCGAUUCCCGACUGUUGGUUGUAGCCUUUGGCAACCAAUCUUACUUUGUAUCUUUCUACGUCAAAUACCUCUUCAUAAUCGAUUCCCGACUGUUGGUUGUAGCCUUUGGCAACCAAUCUUACUUUGUAUCUUUCUACGUCUCCUUUAGCGUUCUUCUUUGUUUUGUACACCCACUUAACUCCGAUUGCUCUCUUUUUUUUGGAAAGAGUUGUCAGCUCCCAUGUGUCAUUUUUCUAAAUAGCCUUAAUCUCUUCAUCCAUGGCAUCUCACCAUCUUUUAUUUUGUACCGCUUCUUCAUAGCCUAUUGGUUCACAAUCGACAAAAAGACAAAAAAGUGGGAGAUCAUUUUGAUUUUCGGUUACCUCAUAUAGCUCUUGUAGGCUCCUCAUCCGUGGUGUUCUUUUGCUUGAACUUUCUCCUUGUGAAGAUGAUGGAGAAGCACCUCCAUGAGUAGGUCAUAGAGGUAGAAUGAUAAUCUCUUGCUGCUCUCCAUUCUCUUGCUCUUCUUUAUCAAAGAAUGGUAAGAAGUCAUAGUCUUCUUCUUGGACACCCCAAUCCCAAGCUCCUUCUUCAUCAAACUUGACAUCUACUUAUGGUGAUCUUCUCAUUCCUUGGAUUAUACAACUUGUAGCCUUUAGAGCGAAAAUCAUAGCCGAUGAAGACAUACCUUUCACUUUUGUCAUCUAACUUGGACCGUUUUUGAUCUGGUACAUGAGCAUAUGCAAUGUUCCCAAAUACUUGUAAGUGAGAGAUGCUAGGCUUUCUUCCACUCCAUGCUUCUUGUGGUGUCUUAUUCCACACACUUUUAGAAGGUGAUCGGUUAGACAGAUACACGGCGCAAUUAACAGCUUCAGCCCAAAGUUCUUUGGGCAAUCUCUUAUUUUUGAGCAUGUAGCGGGCCAUGUUAAGAAUGGAUCUGUUCUUUCUUUCGGCUACUCCAUUUUGUUGUGGAGAGUAUGGAACUGUCAAUAGGCGACGAAUUCCAUUCUCCUCACAAUAUUUCUCAAACUUUUUGGAGGUGAACUCUCCUCCUCUAUUCAAUCUCAAGGCUUUUAUACUAUAUCCGCUUUCUUUUUCAACAAGAGCUUUGAACUUCUUCAAAGUUUCAAAAACUUCCAAUUUUUGUUUGAGAAAAUAGACUCAAGUCUUUCUACUGAAAUCAUCAAUAAAAAGAACAAAAUAAUUGCUCUUACCGAGAGAGCUUGGAUUAAUUGGCCCACAAACAUCGGAGUGUACAAGUUCUAGUGGCUUAUUAGCUCUUGUAGAUGCUUCUUUUGGAAAACUUUUUCUCGAAUGCUUUCUAAGUAAGCAUCCUUUACAUAAUUGAUCCACAUGAUUUAUUGGAGGCAACCUUUCACAAUUUUCUUCUUACUCAACAAUUUUAAGCCUCCAAAAUUAAGAUGCCCAAAUCUCAAGUGUCAAAGUCAAGAUGAAUCUUUAAAAUAAGCUUUUAAGUAUUUAGCGACAUCAUUUUGAAUGCUUAACGCAAACAUUCUCUUUCUUGUCAUAGAGACUUUGACAAUCAAAUUUUCUCUUCGAUCUCUUAUUGAAAGACUAUGAUCUUUCAAAUGAAUAUCAUAGCCCUUUUCUAAGAGUUGUCCCAAACUUAAAAUGUUAUUCUUCAUAUUUGGCACAUAAUGGACAUUUGAGAUAAAUUGAUGCGUACCAUUUUUCAAGCGGAUCAAGAUUUUACUUUUUCCUUUCACUGGGAUCUUGGAUUUAUCUCCAAAGGUAAUGUUGCCGCUUACUAAUUCAUCAAACUCCACAAACAUGUUUUUUCUUCCACACAUAUGAUUGUUUGCUCCUGUAUCCAAAUACCAAGUAUUCUUUUCUCUGCUCUCUUCACCUUUGUAAGCCAACAGUAGUGCAGGAUCUACUUCACUUUCCCGACAAGCGUAGUUGGCUUUCUCCUCAACUUGGUUAGUAAUAUUUCUACAUUCUGAAGCACAAUGACCAAGUUUUUGACAAUUGUAACAUUUAAUUUGAGAUUUGUCAUACCUUGGUCCUUCAUUUUGUCUCGUACCUUUUCCUCUUCCGCGACCUCUGGUAGAAAAUGAACUUUGUCUUCUUUCCUCCUUGUAGAAUGCAAUUCUUCCUCGAUCUUGGCCUUGUUCUCUUCCUCUUUGGCUUCUUCUACUAUUGAACCUUCAUUCACCCUCGUUCAAAGUGAGAUUUGUUUGAAGAGCUUGCUUUAAUGACUCUUCUUUCACCUUCUUCUUUAGUCUUUCCUCAUGGGCUUGUGAAAAUCCCAUGAGUUGAUCGACACUCAUACUAUCUAGAUCUUUAGAUUCCUCAAUGGCUACAACUAUGUAGUCAAAUUUAGAAUCUAAAGACCUAAGUAUCUUUUUAAUUACUCGAGUGUCGUUCAACUUUUCUCCAUUCUUUUUUAAUUGAUUCACAAUAGCUAAUAUUCUAGAGAAGUAAUUAGAAUUUGAUUCCGAUUCUUUCAUAUGUAAAGCUUCAAACUCACCUCAAAGUGUUUGAAGUCGAACCUUUUUCACCUUCUCAACUCCUUUGUGGGAGUUUUGGAAGAUCUCUCAUACUUCCUUACUCGUAGUAGCAGAAGCUACUUUCUCGAACAUGCCUUCAAAUAAGGCUUGAUAGAUGAGGGCGAGCGCCUUCUUGUCCUUCUUCCUUGCAUCCUUCAAACUAUCCCUUUGUGCUUGGGAUAGAGCAACCUCAUCUUGUGGCUCCGUGUAGCCUUUCUCUAUGAUCUCCCAUGCAUCUUGUGACCCGAGCAAUGCUUUCAUUCUUAUACUCCAAUUGUCGUAAUUAUCCUUGUUGAGUUGGGGGACUUGAAAAGGAAUCAUCUCACUUGCCAUUUUUCACAAGAACCUUGGGGCUCUGAUACCUGUUUGUUGGAGGAAAGAUGUGUUUACUAACUUGGAUUGGCUAAGGCUUUUAAGAAGACAACACUAAUAGGAAGAAGGAAGUGAAAAAAAGGAAACUUAUAUUUCUCAAAUUCAAGACUUUACACACUUUUUGGCUUGUUACAAAAUGGAGGGCACUACCCCUUUAUAUAGUAUUUACAAGAAGAUUCUAGUCCACAUAUUUUCUAGAGGCACCUAGACCACACAUCAAGAUAUUUUUCUAGAAUUCUCUAGAUAUUCUUUAUAUAUCUUACUUAGAUAUUUAUAUAGAUUUUUCUAGUAGAUAUUUAUAUAGAUUUUUCUAGAUAAUACUUCUAGAAAUGCUAUGCAUGUUGGGCCUUUUAAUUGAUUUGAGCCUAUAAGCAAAAUCCUUAAACCCAUAUUAUUUAGUCCAAAAAGCAAGUUUACUACUCAACAAAGUUUAACUAUUGUCCAUAUUAGGGAGAACCUAAGAAAACUCAUAUGUUUCUAUAGUAACAAAAUGUCGCAGCAUAUAAUAUACUGCACUUGUACCUCCUGAUAACUAUAAAUAAUGCAACUAACAGAACAUAGUUCAACACAACAUCACCUAAAUUCAAGAGCCUAAAAAAAAUCCCAUGAAGAAAACUCCAUGAAUUGCUUAGAUAUAGCUAUUCAAUGCUUCAAUGUCUGAACACUACCUUCAGCAGGAUGCAAGCUACAAAAGGUUUUGUGAGCUUUUUAGUUACCAGUUCCUCCUCUGGUUAUGGCGAACCAAUCAGUGAACAGUUUCCUGGUCUUUUCAGUGAAUCCCUAGACUUCUUCGAUUUUCAUGAUUUCAUUGGUAGGAUUAGCUACUGCGGUGUGACAUUCUUAUUGUUGGGCCUUCCAUGUAGCCUCUUUGUAAUUACCACAUCCGAACUUUGAAAACUUUAAGUUUCUUUACUCAUAUCAUUGUAAAACUCCCAGCUUGUAUUGUAGCGUUCGAAACCAUUAAUGAGGUUAUCGCAAGAACCACCUUCCAAAACAUCCACGGCCAACAAUUGGUUUACAGGUAAACAUACACUAGUUUUCUUUUACAUUUUUGAAUUAAUUUGCGCAUAUUAUACACUCAUUUUCUUUUACUUUGUUUCCUCUUUCCUUUCUCCAUUUUCUCCUCUUAAACCCUCAUUUUUUGGAGCCGUAUGAUGUUACCAAUUCAAUUGUUACUGUUAUUAUAUUCCUCUUCCAUAGGUGUUCGAGCUUCAAGGGGAUACUGGAAAAUAAGUUGGCAAGCCAUCUUCAUCUUUAGCUGGUGGGAGGAUUCUUACAUCAUGUGCAGCCACUUAGUUCAACUGAGACAUAGUCAUGCGCAUCUGCGUGUGUUAAUGUGUAUAUGAUGCAUGUGCGGGUCCCGUGCAGGCACAAUGUGUGGAUCCUAUGUGUUCCAUCAAAUUGCAGAGCAUGUUUGGCCAUGCUUAAAAGUUCAUUCUUGACAAGAAAUAACUUUCAAGCUCAACAUAACAUCAUCACUAAUGAGAAUAAAUAUAAGAUCAGUAAACCUAAAUACAAUAGAUCAUCAUCUGUUACAACUCAGCCUAUGUUCCUCCAGUACAACCAAAAAGUACAGCUACUGUCUGCAACUUUUGAAAACUCCUGAAGUUUCUAUAAUAAUAAAAUGUCACAGCCUAUAAUACGAAACCCUUGAAUUUCCAAAUUACUAUAAACAGUGCCACUAACUAAACAUCGUUCAACAAAAGAACACCCGAAACAAUGGCCUAAUUAAAUAAAAAUCAAAUUCAGAAUACUAAAAAUUUCUUAGAUUGAGCUAUUCAAUGCUGCAUUCAGCCAACUGAAAACCACUUCAGUGACGCGAAAGGCACAACAUGGAUUGUGACCUUUUCAAGCACUGGUUUCUUCCACUCUAGUUCCUGUAAACUAGUCAGUUAUGAAAAUUUCCUAAUCCUUUUUUACAAAGCCCUAGGCUCAGCUGUUGCAGCAACAUUCUUGGUGUUACGUCUUCUAAAUGGCCUCAUUGUAAUAAUAAAAUUUGAACUUUGAAAAUCUGAGGUUUCUUUGCUCAGAUCAUGGUACCACACUAAGCUUCUUUUGUAGCAUUCAGAACCAUUAAGGAGGUUAUUCCAAGAACCGCUUUCAAAAAUGUCAACUGUAAGUGGGUGGCCAACAAUUGGUUUAGAGUUGAACAUACACUCAUUUCAUAUGAUAUUUUUAAAGUAGAUUGUACAUAUUGGAUAUACACUCAUUUGCUUCUCACUUUAUUUCAUCUUUACUAUCUCCAUUUCUCCUCUCAAACCUUUGUUGGAGUCAUUUGAUGUCACCACUUCAAUUGUUAAUUGUUACUACUAUUCUUGUUCCAUCAUUAGGUGAAGGAGCUUUACGUGGGUUCGAGAAAAUAAACUUUUAGCAUCAAAAUCUUCGGCAUGGCUGGGAAUGAUUCUUUCAACUGGCAAGUUGUCAUGAGCAUCCGUGCAUGUUAUGUGUGUUAAUGAGGUUAAAUAAGAUUAUGGAGAUCGUUGAAGAUUACAGCUUGACGUCUAUAUUAUUUUUAUAAUUGUAUUGUAUAUAGAUAGAUUGUUUAUUUUAUCAUUUAUCAAUUAUAGGUUACCGUUAGUUAAUAUUGUGAUUGAUUGCCACCAUAUUUAGAGGUGAUUUUGGUUCUAUAUAAUGAGAGAAUCUCUUACAUUGAAGGGUAUCGAGUCUUAUUGAGUAUAUUUAACAAUGUGCAGGUCUUGCGCGUGCAAGUAAUGUGAAGGUGCUAAUUGUGUUUGUUACAUACAGGUGUGACGUGUGUGCCCCGUGUGCGUCAUCAAACACCUGAGCAUGUUUUGCCAUGCUUAAAGGCUACGACUUGAAAAACUGAAUUCUGUGAUGGAAAAAAGUAACUUCCGAAAAUUAUAUUUGGUAUAACAAAUAACACUAGAGCACAACUAGACAUGCUUUAACCUUUAAUAAGACUAAAUAAAAGUCCAGUAAACCUAAAAAAUCAUAUCAUCAUCCUUUACAAAUCGUCCUAUCUUCCUACGAUACAUACAAAAUGUCCAACUAUAGUCCAUAUUAGGGAGAACCUGAGGAAACUCCUAUAGUUUCUAUAGUAUCAAAAUGUCACAUCAUAUAAUAUACAACGCUCUGCCUCCAUAUUACUAUAAAUAGUGCAACAAGCUUGAAAGUUUAAAUUUACCGAAUAGUUAAGACUCAAAUGCGAAAUUAAGCCAAUUAAAAGCAACAAGUCAUAUUAAUUUCUCCUAGAUUAUUAAGGCAAUUAAUUCAAUUAACUCCUAUAUUUAAACAAUUAUAAACAUUCAAAUCAAAACAGUAAAUAAAUAAAUAACACCAAAAAUAAGGCCACAAAACAUCAAUAAAAAAUUUUAAGUCUCCAAUGAAGAAGAUAAUAGGGCCUCAUUCUACCACCCAUAAACCAGCCCCCUAAAAUACUUAGUAUAGUAAAAAUGUUAGGUUCCACUCUGUCCAACACAAUAUAGUUAUGUUCCACACGAUAAAAUAUAGGAUGAUUAGGCUUCACAAAGUCCAACAUUAGGCAACUUUAAUUCUUAAUUCUACCCAUGCCAAGUAUUUGCAUCACAAUAUAGAUCAUUUUUGGGGGUUGGAACUACACUUUUAACUUGUUUUCAAUCUUUAAAUGCCAUACUAAUCAUCCCACGAGAUAUUAUACUUAAUUUCAAAUAAAUUUCAAGAAACAAUAUCAUACUAUUAUUAUGCGACAAGUAAAACUGAAAAAGUUAGUACUUUGGAGAAUUGUACCAUAUCCUCCACACCUGUAUAGAGGAACAUCCGGGCAACUUUGCAAGAACCUAUUGGCAUCUAGGACAUCUAUCUAGUCGAACUUUUGUGGUUGAGUACUCAUGUUACACUUGACUUUUGUGGCUGGUUGAGUGCUCAUUUUCUUUUACUUUGUUAUCUCUUACUUUCUCCAUUUUCUCUUUUUAAACCUUCAUUUUUCGGAGCCGUAUGAUGUUACCAAUUCAACUGUUACUUUUAUUCAUGUUACAUAGGUGUUUGAGCUUCAAGUAAGGGGUACUAGAAAAUAAGUUGGUAGGCCAUCUUCAUCUUUGGCUAUGGAUGAUAAUUCUAACUUCUUUCAAGCACAACAAAACAUGUGUAGGGACAUGGAGAUCUAAAAAAGGGGAUCCUAUCAACUUGUUCCGACCUAGGAUAAUAACCACAUGAGCUUGGUCUUCACCUCUAAUGAGACGAGAUAUAAGAUCAGUAAACUUAAAAACAUUCGAUCAUCAUCUGUUACAACUCAGCCAAUGCUUGUACAGUACAACCAAAAAGUAUAAUUGCAGUCUCCACCCUGAGAAAACUCCUACAGUGUCUAUAAUAAUAAAAUAUCACUGCCUAUAUUUCACAAUAUUUCAACUUCCAAAUUAUUAUAAAUAGUGCCACUGGCUAAACAUAGUUCAACAAAAGAACUCCCAAAACCAACAGCCUAAUUAAAGAAAAAUCGAUUGCAGAAAACUCAAUAAAUUUCUUAGCUUGAGCUACUCAAUGCUGCAUGCAGCCGACUAAACACCACCUUCAGCUGGCCCAAAGCCACAACUUGGAUUGUGAAUUAUCGAUUUCUUCUCCUUUAGCUCCUGCAAAAUAGUCAGUGAAGAAAAUUUCCUCAUCUUUUUUUAUGAAGCCCUAGACUUUUUUGAUUUUUGCAAUUUCAUUGUUGGGCUCAGCUGCUGUGGUGACAUUCUUAGCAUUGGGUCUUCCACAUGGCCUCAUUGUAAUAAUCAAUCUGAACUUUGAAAACAUGAGGUUUUUUUGCUCAGAUCAUGGUAAAGCAUUGAGCUUCUGUUGUAGCAUUUAGAACGAUUAAAGGGGUUAUGAUAAGAACCACCUUCCAAAAUGUCAACUGUAAGUGGGUGGCUAACAAAUGGUUUAUAGUUCAACAUACAAUCGAUUCCUUUGAUAUUUUUUUAAGUAAACUGCACAUAUUGGACAUACACUCGUUUGCUUCUCACUUCAUGAUUCAUCUUUACUUUCUCCAUUUCUUCUCUCAAACCCUUAUUUGUUGGAAUCAUUUGAUAUCACGGAUUUGACUGUUACUAUUGUUCUUGUUCCAUCAUUAGGUGAUUUCAAGUGGGUUCUGGAAAAUAAAGUUGUGGACCAUCAAUAUCUUCGAUGCGGCUGGUGAGGAUUCUGAUGUUGUGAGCAGCUUGCUUCUUUCAACUGCCACGUUGUUAUGAGCACAGUGACAAAUCCGAGAUUUUGAGUGAAAACGGGUGGUUGUCAACCACUGACCGUCGAUGGCUGCAAUAAUAACCAAUACCAUGAAUUGAAAUUAUUUAUAUAAUAGUUCUAAUUGUAAAUGUGGAUGUACAUUAUCUAUCAAUCUAAUAAUAUUUAUCAAGUAACAAUUUGAUUUCUGAAAUAUGGGCCCAAUUAUUUACAUUCUUAGUUCGAUUUGCUAAUAAUUUCAGUCUAAAAGAAAAAAAAAUGACUAUUUUAAUAAUCUCAUUGUAAGAUUGAAUUCUAGUUAAAAAAAAUUUAAAAACAGAGGGUAUAUAUCUAUUACUUGAUAAAAGAACAUAUAGAAUUUUGUUACCCAUAAUGUCAACAUUCACCAAAAAUCAUAGUGGUCAAGUGUUUCAUAAUUCCAAUGGAGAUCAUAGGUUCCAAUCUUCCAUUUGCACGGGUUUCAAUGCCAUAUUUGCUCCAUGAAAAAUAUUAAACUAAAAUAAUUGCAAAGGGGUUUGUUAGCAUUGAGAGUCAAACCCAAGAUUCCCAAGAACUACAGGACCUUUAUGUGAGUAAAAGGAAAUCACAGAUAUAUAUCCCAAAAAAAAAAAGAAAAGAAAAGAAAAUACAUUAACACCAAAAAAAAAAAAUUGAAUACAGGUGAAUCUAGCAUGGGUUGCCACGCUUGCCAGGUGCUGGAUCUAUUACUGCAUGAGCAUUUGUGCAAUUUAUGUACAAGCGCUACAUGUAUGUGUAAUGUGAAGGUGCUGCAUGUAUUUGUUGCACAGAGAUGUGACGUGUGUGCCCUAUGUGCUUCACCAAACACCUAAGCAUGUUUUGCCAUUCUUGAAAGCUAGUUCUUGAAAAAUUUGAAUUUUGUGAUUAAAAUAAGUAACUUCCGAAAAUUAUGUUUUGGUAUAACAAAUAACACUCAAGCACAGCCAGACAUGCUUUAACCUCUAUUAAGACUAGAUAAAAGUUCAGUAAACCUAAAACCAUCAUAUCAUCAUCCUUUACAAAUCAUUCAAUGUUCCUAUGGUACAUACAAAAAGUCUAACUAUAGUCUGUUGUGAAAGCUUGCUCCAAAAUCUUCGAUUUGGUGAUUCAGUUUUAUGUUACCUUUUUCUACCAACUCAACCCAUAACCAAUAUAUUUAACCCGAUUGCUUCUUAAUCUCACCUACAAGAGAGAAGAUAAUUGGUGUUGAUUUGUAGCCACAAAUGCAAUAAGAAAGCAAGGAAUAAGGCACAAGAAGGAAACCAAAAUCAAGUAGGCAACCAUUGUAUUUGGAGCACAAAGCAAACAAUUUUCUUCCUAUUCUUUCUCUAUUUGCAGCCACGUUUUCUUCUCUAAUUCACACAAACACACACAAAAUGGAAGGGGCUAGACAACCAUAUAUAUAGAUAUAGGUUAGGCUCUAGUUGGACCAAGAGAGGGGUUAAAUGGGCUAAGAUUCAAGAGCCGUCCAAUAGGUGAAUAUAUUGACCAUGAGCAACAUUAAAUCCUUAAGCUAUUUUCAACGAUCCAUGCUAUCUUAAUUGUUGAUAACUAAUUCACCCAUUGGCCAAGGCAUUAGAAAUUUAAUCCGAACCGUUUAACAUCAUCGUCCAAGAUUUACUGGGUAUCAAAAUCCAACAUAGUCCAUAUUAGGAAGAAUGAAAGGGAGCUCCUAUAGUUUCUCUAGUAAUGAAAUGUCGCAGCAUAUAAUAUACAACACUCUACCUCCAUAUUACUAUAAAAUGGUGCAACUAACUGAACAUAGUUCAACAAAAGAACAACAAAAGUCAACAGCCUAAUUUAACAAAAAUCUCAUGAAGAAAACUCCAUAAAUUGCUUAGGUUGAGCUAAUCAAUGCUUCGCCAUCAGAACACCACCUUCAAUGUGACGCUCUACAUAUCUGUUCACCGGGUUCUCCCCUCUGGUUCCGGCAAACUAGUAAGUGAAGAUAAUUACCUGGUCUUCUUUGAAUAAUCCUUUUAUUCUUUUAUUUUUGUGUUUUCACUGAUAGGAUCAGCUACUGCGACAUGACAUUCUUAUUAUUGAGCCUUCUACUUAGCCUCUUUGUAACAGCCACAUCUGAACUAUAAAAACUUUCAUUACUCAGAUCAUGUUAAAACUCCUGGCUGCCACUGUUGUACUGACACACCCCGCCCCUUAUAACAUCACUAGAUUCGGAUGUGACAUGUGCCGAUGAUAGAUACCAACUAAAAGUCGGACUCACCAUUAAAGCUACUACAAAUACAAUAUAUCACUUUUAUACGUCAUUUUUAUAAUAGAAUUUCGGCAUUAUCUCCCUUGUAAACAGGACUAACCAACCUGUGAUCAAUUUCACACAAAUCCCAAACUAUAGCACAGCAAAAUAAAGAUAAGCCGAAAUCUCAAUCUUUACCAAGAAAUAAAAUGAAAUAUACAUAUGGAUACAAAAUACAUAGUGAGCCCCAUAACUAUUUACAAGUGAUGCAAAAUCACAUCUAGACAUGAACAUGCGUUCCAAAACACUGACUACAUAGUCUAUGAAGUGAGUCAUACUAACAAACUCUGUUGUAUGGCUUUGAUUCCAAAAUCAAGGCUCAACUUCAAAAGAUGUCCAGAUUCUCAACUGUUGCCUGAUAAGGAAAAAUGUGGAAAAACAUAUGAGUUGAUAGCUCAGUGAGUGGAGAAGUUCAAAAUAAAUAUACUUUUUCAUUUAUACAUUUUUAUUGAAAAUAAAAUUCAUAUCAUUUGAUAAUUCACAAGCUACCAUCAUGUAAUUAUAGCCAAAAAGUGAGACAUUCACGUAAAGUCAUAGAAUAUCAUCUUAAAAUCAUGAUAUAAUAUCAGCUAAUAACCAUGCUAUAAUCUCAUCACAUCAAACAUGUUGAAAAUCCACAAAAAAUGUACCCUCUGACUGAAAUAUAAAAUCUGUCCCUCGGGCUAAGAACUUUCGCCACGAGCUUUUGGCCCCCUCCGUGAACGAAAUUCGGUCUCGAAGACCUCUCAUGAUCAAUUCUAUAACACGGCCAAGGUCCCUCUGUGAACUAUAUGUACACGAUCGAGACCAAUGUCAGGUCAAGACCCUUCGUGUAGGAUAGAACACGACCAAGGCCACUCUGUGAACUAGAAGAAGUAUAUAAUCAUAGGUACUUUUCUGGCUGAUCUCAAUAUCACGUCUCACAUACCAAACAAAUCUCAAUAUCACAUGUCUCAUAUAACAAGUCACAAACGUACAAUAAAUAAUCCUUGAAAUUCUACAUGUAUCAUAAUAAUAAUAUUUCCAUAAUAACCAUGUGAUUCGAACACAUAAUUGCAUAUAAUUGUACAUACUUUAAAAAUAUACUUAAUUUAUAAAUAUUUAAAAAAUAUUUAUAUUUUUCUACUCACAGAACUAUGUAUGUGAAAAUCAGCUCAAUUGGUACGCUGUUCCGAUAUCCGUAUCGCCACUUGAAAUAUGAUAUCAUUUUUAGAUCAACAAUUAACUAUUUUAAUAAGUUUCAUUAAUUAAAUAGGCUAUACCCAAACUUAAUUAUUUUACGUUUAGGCGAUUUCUAAAGUCUCUUUAAUUACUAAAACUAAAUUCUCUUUCAUUUUACUCAAUUUCAUAGUUUAUUAUACUUAACCUCUUCAAUAAAAUUAAAUUUAAUCUAACAAUCUAACAACUAUAAAAUCAAACAUAACCUUUCAAUAAGUAACUUUUUACUUAUUUUUCAAAAUUGAGGAAUUCAAGCCUAAUAGGAUAUAGCACUUAAUUUCUAACACGUUGGCAAAUUUCCCCCCUUUUUUUCUUCCUCUUUUCCUUUUUUUUUUCCUUUCUUUCUCCUUGUUUCUAUUUCUUUCUGCAUGUUUAUACGUUAUCAAAUGGUUUUGGAUAGAUAUAUAAUGAAUUGGUUUGAGUUCCACCGCCUGCCACACUUUGGUUUUGUCUUUUGUCAUUUUUUUUGUUUGACUUUUCUUCGUUUUUUGUUUUGUUUUUGUUUUGUUUAAUGUAUUACAAAACUCACCUCCUUAAAAGAAUUUCGUCCUCGAAAUUUAAGUGAUCAUGUAUGAAAAAGUCGUGGAUACUAAGAACGCAUCUGCUCUUCGCUUUUCCAUGUCACUUUUUCUACAGCAUGAUUUCUCCAUAAAACUUUAAUCAAGGAAAUAGUCUUACUACGCAAGACCUGUUCCUUCCUGUCCAAUAUCUAAACUGGUUCUUCUUCAUAGGUAAGAUUUUCCUUUAGUUCUACUGAUUGUGAUUCCAAAACAUGAGAUGGAUCUGGAAUAUACUUACGAAGCAUGGACAUAUGGAAUACAUCAUGAAUUUUGGACAAUUCUGUUGGCAAAGCCAAUCGAUACGCAACUGGACCGAUGCGUUCAACAAUCUUAUACGGGCCAAUAUACCUCGAACUCAAUUUACCUCGUUUACCAAAUCUUAUAACAACUUUCCAUGGCGACAAUCGCAGGAAAAAUCUAUCCCCAACAUCAAAUUCAAGGUUUCUUCUACAUCUAUCUGUAUAGUUCUUCUGUCUGUCUUGGGCUGUCUUUAACUUUUCUUUAAUUAUCUCUACUUUCUCAGCAGUAAUCCGGACAUAUUCAGGACCCAAUAACUUUCUUUCACCAACUUCAUCCCAACUUACUGGAGUUCUGUAUUUCCUACCAUAUAGUGCUUCAAAAGGAGCCAUUUCUAUACUCGAAUGAUAACUGUUAUUAUAAGAAAACUCCAUCAAAGAAAGAUGAGCAUACCAAUUCCCUUUGAACUGUAGUACGCAAGCUCGUAACAUGUCUUUCAAAGUUUGAAUAGUUCUUUUUGACUGACCAUCUGUUUGAGGAUGAAAAGUUGUACUGAAAUGAAGUUUAGUACCCAUAACUUUCUCUAAACUGGGCUAAAAUUUAGAAGUGAAAUGAGAAUCUCUAUCUGAAACAAUAGAUACUGGUGCCCCAUAUAAACUGAUUAUUUCAUCAACACAUAUUUUUACCAAUUUAUCUAAGGAGUAAGUGACUUUAAUAGGCAAAAAUCAAGCAGUCUACGUCAAUCUGUCUACAAUGAUCCAUAUGCCAUCAUGUCCACUCUGAAUCCGUGGAAAUCCAAAUAGAAAAUCCAUAGUAAUGUGUUCCCAUUUUCACUCAGAAAUAGGCAAUGUUUGUAACAAUCUCGCUAUUUUCUGAUGAUUUGGUUUCACUUGCUGGCAAAUGAGACAUUUGAAUACAAACUCAGCUAUUUCUUUCUUCAUUCUAUGCCACCAGUAGUGUUCUUUGAGUAUAAGAUACAUUUUUGUACUACCUAGAUGCAUCGCAUAAGCUGAACUAUGUACCUCUUCUAGAAUUUCUCCCUUCAAUUUUGAAUCAUCUGGAACACAUAAUCUGUUUCCCAUAACUAAAGCUCCGUCAUCUCGAAUGGUAUAAUCUGUAUGCUUACCUUUACUAACUUUUCUUUCAAUUUGCUCAACAUUGGAUCUUGAGUUUGAGUUUCUUUAAUUGUGUCAAUCAAAGUAGGCCUCACUUGGAAGUUGGCAAACAAUGCUCCUACACUGGUAACUGAUAAUUGGGCAUGAGAAGCUCUGAACUCACCAAACAAAGAUGAACAUACUGCAUUAGUCUGGAUCAUAGGACUCGAUAUUUUUCGACUGAGAGCUUUAGCAACUACAUUAGCCUUCCCUAGAUGAUAAUCAAUCUUGCAGUCAUAAUCUUUUAUCAGCUUUAAUCAUCUUCUUUGCUUCAAGUUUAACUCUUUUUGAUUGAAAAUAUACUUUAAGCUUUUAUGAUCUGUGUAAAUCUGGCAUCUCUCACCAUACAAGUAAUGUCUCCAAAUUUUCAAGGUUAAGACAACUGCAGCUAGCUCUAAGUCAUGUGUAGGAUAACUUAGUUCAUGUUCCUUCAACUGCCUGGAAGCAUACGCUAUAACUUUCUCAUUCUGCAUCAAAACACAACCAAGACCUUGACGUGAAGCAUCACUAUAUAUCACAAACUCUUCACUAGGAGAUGGAAGGGUAAGAACUGGAGCUGACACUAAUCUAUUCUUUAAUUCGAGGAAACUUCUUUCACAAUUUUCAUUCCAAACAAAUUUAGCAUUCUUUCUAGUCAAACUGGUCAAAGGCAGAGCAAUUUUAGAAAAUCCCUCUACAAAACGACGAUAAUAACCUGCUAAGCCAAGAAAACUUUGUAUUUCUGUUACAUUAGUAGGCCUUUCCCAUUUUACCACUGCCUCUAUUUUUUGCGAGUUAACAUAAAUUCCUUCUGCUGAUAUGACAUGUCCCAAAAAUACAACUUUAUCAAACCAGAAUUCACAUUUACUGAAUUUAGCAUACAAUUGCUCAUCAAGUAGAGUCUGUAAGAUGAUUCUGAGAUGCUCUGUGUGCUCAUCAUGAUCACGAGAGUAUACUAAAAUAUCAUCAAUGAAUACAAUCAUAAAUCUGUCUAAAUACGAACGAAACACUCUAUUCAUCAUAUCCAUAAAUGUUGCUGGUGCAUUGGUCAGCCCAAAUGGCAUCACAAGAAAUUCAAAAUGACCAUAUAUUGUCCUGAAAGCAGUUUUUGGCACAUCACUAUCCCUAAUUUUAAGUUGAUGAUAUCCAGAACGCAAAUCAAUCUUUGAAAAUACUGUAGCAUCGCGAAGCUAAUCGAACAGAUCAUCAAUACGUGGUAAAGGAUAUUUAUUGUGAAUUGUCAUCUUGUUCAAUUGUCUAUAAUCUAUGCACAGUCACAUGAUGCCAUCUUUCUUUUUCACAAACAAAACUGGUGCUCCCCAUGGAGAUAUAUUAGGUCUGAUGAAACCUUUGUCUACCAACUCUUGCAACUGAACCUUUCGCUCUUUCAAUUCUGCUGGUGCCAUUCUAUAGGGUGCCUGUGAAAUAGGUGCAGUUUCUGGAAUCAGAUCUAUAGUGAACUCCAUAUCUCUGUCUGAUGGUAAGCCUGGUAAUUCUUUUGGAAAUACAUCAGGAAAGUCCUUGACCACUGGGAUAUCUUCAAGUUUUAGUUUGCUAACAUCUGUAUCAAUUACAUGAGCUAAAUAUACAUGGCAACCCUUGUUUAGUAAUCUUCUAGCGUUAAUAGCAGAUAUCACACAAGAAGGUAAAAUUCUGUGUUGUCCAUUGAAUAUAACUUCAGGCUGUCCUGGCUGUCGAAACACAACUUCCUUUCGAAAAUAAUCAACUGAAGCUCGACUUGUUGUCAGAAAAUCCAUACCUAGGAUAAUACUGAAAUCAUGUAUGUCAAGAGGUAUUAAAUUUGCCUUGAGCUCGUUCUCCUUUACCUUAAUCCCACAAUCUCGAUAUAUAUUGUUUGCUAAUAGUGAUUCUCCUACUGGUGUAUUCACUACCAAAAACUGCCUAAAAGUUUUGGCUUUUGAUUCGCAUAUAAAGCAAAUGCAAAUGACGUAAAAGAAUGUAUAGAUCCAGGUUUAAUCAAAAUACGAGCAUUUCUAUCAAAAAUUGGCAACAUACCCAUGAUAACAUCUGGUGACUCCUCUGCUGUUUGUUGAGUCAUAGCAAAAACUUUGCACUGGGCCUUUGGUCGUCCUGCCUGCCCUUUUGGUUUUGUGCCACUACCACUUGCGAUAUUAGAUUGGGCGAUAUUAGAUUGGGCCUUACUGUUUGUGCCUGCUCUGUUAGCUGAAUCAUUUCUCCGAGUCUGAUUCUAUCUUGUACUACCAGCACUUUGCUGAGGGAACAUCCUUUGUGUCAUGCCACCCUCCUGGAAUAUAAUUGGGCAAUUCCUUUUCAGAUGCCCUUCUUGGCCACAACGAUAGCAAACACCAACUCCCUUGAACUUUAAAUACUCUCCAGGAUGAGAUCUUCUACAUAAUUGUCAAGAAGAAAAUCUGGCACUAGUAGAACUCUUUCCUUGUCUCGGAGUAAAUGAUCUCUUGGAAGAACCCUGAGUAUAAUUACGAUUGGCCAAUGACUGCUAUACAGUAUUGGGACUGAAUCUAGGACCCUGACUUCCUCGAAAUCGAGAUUUGAAUUGACCUGAACUGGACACACCAGGUCGAAAUCCUCUACUGUCCUUCCGUAGUGGUUUAUAGCUAGAAGCACUUGCCAUUGUCUGACUACCGCUCGCUCUAAACAUUGUUUGUUCUCUACCACUUGACCUAUCGGAAAUGUUCUUUUCUACUCUCAAAGCUGAUUCCACCAAUUUGCCAAAUACAUUCCAGCCUGCAACUGUUACUACGAUCAGAUUUCUUCUCUUAACCCAUUUUCAAAUCGUCUACAUUUAUCAAUUUCGUUGCUUACUAGAACUUGGGCAUACUUUGAAAGUUCAAUAAAUUUCACCUCAUAUUCUGCAACUAUCAUCUACCCUUGCACUAGUUUCAAAAAUUCCUCCUGCCUUGCAUCUUUAUAGGACUAAGGAUAAUAGGCAUCGUAAAAGAUACGACGAAAAUCUAUCCAAGUAAUGAUGGAAGGGUCUAGAUAUGUGCUCCAUACUGACUGCUACCAAUCAUACGUACCCUCCUCUAAUAAGAAGGUGGCAAGACACAACUUUCGAUCGUCUGAGCAACCCAUAAUGUCAAAUACCAUCUCUAUCUUGGUCAUCCAUGCUUGUGCAACUACAGGAUCGGCUGUGCCAGUGAACACUUUAGCUCUUAACAUUGUGGCCCUUUCAAUACUAAAAUCUCUGCUAGUAUUACGCAUAGCAGAUGUAACGGCAAUAACAAUUCUUUCAAUAGCAAUAGGAUCAGUUCCAAUCAUAUUUCUCUGUCCCUAUUGUUCAGGAGGCUGGUGAACUGAUUCAUCUACUCUCUCGGGCUUUCUCAGUUCAUCUCUAUCAUGAGAAAUGUGAGACUGGGGCAACAUAUCUUGGAGCCUUCGAGUUUUGCCACCACGAGACUUGACUCACCUACAAUUAUGCAUGAUAUGUUAAACAUCAGAAUGUAUGCAUGUACAAUGCAAACCCAUGAACUCUAAUGCAUGCUCUGAUACCAAAUUGACACACCCCGUCCCGUAUAACACAACUAGAUUCGAACGUGGCAUGCGUCGAUGAUAGAUACCAACUAAAAGUUGGACCUACCAUUAAGGCUACUACAAAUACAAUAUAUCACUUUUAUACGUCAUUUUUCUAAUAGAAUUUCGGCAUUAUCUCCCUUGUAAACAUGAAUAACCAAUCUGUGAUCAAUUUCACACAAAUCCCAAACUAUAGCACAUCACAAUAAAGAUAAGCCGAAAUCUCAAUCUUUACCAAGAAAUAAAAUAAAAUAUACAUAUGGAUACAAAAUACAUAGUGAGCCCCAUAACUAUUCACAAGUGAUGCAAAAUCACAUCUAGACAUGAACAUACGUUCUAAAACACUGACUAUAUGGUCUAUGAAGUGAGUCAUACUAACAAACUCUGUUGUGUGGUUUUGACUCCAAAAUCAAAGCUCAACUCCAAAAGAUGCCCAGAUUCUCAAAUGUUGCUUGAUAAGGAAAACUGUGGAAAAAUAUAUGAGUUGAUAGCUCAGUGAGUGGAGAAGUUCAAAAUAAAUAUUCUUUUUUAUUUAUAUAUUUUUAUUGAAAAUAAAAUUCAUAUCACUUGUUACUGAUCAUGAGGCCUUGAAGUACAUCAAUGGUCAACACAAGCUGAGUAGGCGACAUGCAAAGUACUUGCACGAGUUUACUUUCACACUAAGGCAUCAAACAUGGAGUUUGAAUCGAGUAGCAGAUGCAUUGAGCUGUCGCACAUUACUCCUCACCACCAUGAGCACCAAGAUUAUCGGAUUUUAGGCAUUUUCUGAUAUGUAUGCUGUAGAUCCUUCAUUUGGGAAGAUAAUUCGGGAGGUAACUAAUAAUCACCGACAUGAUUUUGUUUUACAUAAUGGUUACCUGUUUCGUGGAUUGCAGUUAUGCAUUCCGGAUUGUUCACUAUGGCAGCAGAUUAUUAGUGAACUUCAUAACAAAGGACAUUUUGGGCGAGACAAGGCAUUGGCAUUGGUCUCUUCUGAUUAUUAUUGGCCCAAGUUGAGCAGUGAUGUAGCGCAUUAUAUGGAGCGGUGUUAUGUAUGUCAGCGGUCUAAAUGGGCUCUUACUAAUGCUGGAUUGUACGCACCAUUACCCGUACCUGAAGCUCCUUGGUUUGAUAUCAGUAUGGAUUUUGUCAUGGGCUUACCUCGUACACAACGGGCGAUGGAUUCCAUUCUUGUUGUGGUUGAUAGAUUUUCAAAGAUGGCUCAUUUUGUGGCUUGUCGGAAGACAAUGGGUGCUACUCGGAUUGCUUAUCUUUAUUUCAGAGAGAUUGUGCGUUUACAUAGUGUUCCACAGUCAAUUACUUCUGACCCUGACACUAAGUUUAUGAGUCAUUUCUGGAGGAGUUCGUGGGAGAAACUUGGAAUGAAGUUGAAUUUUAGCAGCGCAUACCAUCCUCAAACAGAUGGUCAGACUGAGGUGGUGAAUCGGAGUUUGAGAAAUCUUUUGAGAAGCUUGGCAGGGACUAAACCGAAGUAGUGGGAUUUGGCAUUACCUCAAGUAGAGUUUGCUUAUAA